UUUUUUUUUGUUUAUGAGAGAGGCGGGGACGUCGAGGGAUCAUAGAUCUAUUUUUUCAGAAUUUUCUAUCGUGCAUAGACGGAGUUUAGACCACGGGAGCACCCCCUCCCUAUCGUUGCAAAAGUUGCUAAGUGAUAUUAAGAAGGACGUGGGGGGUCGAUAUACCCCCUCUCCGAUAAUAUUAUUUUCAUGUACGUAUGUCGUGUCGAUAUAAACUCCCGAUAACUUCAACACGUUGGGGGGGUCGAUAUACCCCCUCCCGAUAACUUCAACACGAGGGGGGUCGAUAUACCCCUCCCGAUAACUUCAACACGUGGGGGGGUCGAUAUACGCCCUCCCGAUAACUUCAACACGAGGGGGCCGGGGUCGAUAUACCCCCUCCCGAUAACUUCAACACGUGGGGGGUCGAUAUACCCCCUCCCCGAUAAUAUUCAUAUGAACAAUGAAUUAGGCAAAACCUUCACUUUUUUUCUAAAAUUUCUAUUUGAACAUUAUUUAAAAAAACAAGCAAUACUACUUCAUGUAUUUUUAAGAAGGAAGAAGAAGAAAAAGAAUGAGAGGAAGAAGGAAAUAAGAAGAGGAAGAAGAGGAGAAAUAAAUAAGAAGAAUAAAAAGGAAGAAAAGGAAGAGGAGAAGAAGAAAAAAUAUUCUAUUCCUUUCUUCUUCUCCUCUAUUCCUUUCUUCUUCUCCUUUUUUCUUCUUCUCCGCCAUUACAACUUCCAGUGAGUGUUACUAGUUUAACUAGUAAUGGCACACCACACCCACGAUGCGCCAUUACUAACUUUGGAAAAAAUAAAUAAAGAAAAUAAAAAAAUUGUUAGUAAUGGCGCACCGUGUGUGUGGUGCGUCAUUACUAGUUUUAACUAGUAAUGGCGCACCACACCCACGGUGCGCCAUUACUACUUUGAAAAAAAAUUGAAAAAAAUUACUAGUGGCGCAUUGUGGAUGUGGUGCGCCAUUAAUAGUUUAACUAGUAAUGGCGCACUAUCCCCUGAUGCGCCAUUACUAGUUUAAAAAAAAUAAAAAAAAUUGUUACUAAUGGCGCACCAUGGAUGUGGUGCGCCAUUAGUAUUUGGACACUAAUGACGCACCAACACAUGGUGCGCCAUUAGUAUUAGUAUAUACUAAUGGCACACCACAUGUCUGGUGCGCCAUUAGUAUCCAUAUCAUCUAUAGUCCUUUUUCUAGUAGUGAAUUGGUGGAAUUGGCGAUUAGAAUGGAUACCUUCAUGCAGUGGCUCUAAACCGUACCACACUAAUAAUAGAACCUACCAGUUCAAGAAAAAAAAUACCGCGCCAAGAAUAGCUUAAAAGGAAAAAAUGAAAACCUAAACGAGCCAGGAGUGACACACGAAGCAGCUCUUGCAUUCAUUGUUUUUUGUUAAUAAUACUACUUUAUAUAUUUUUACGGUUUUGCUAAAGCACAUCUAGAUGUGCUCUAAGUAUUGCAUAUCUAAAUUCUAUGUUAUUGAUCUUACACGUAGAUUUGUAUAGAUAUUUGUGUUUGUUUGAUUGAGUCACUUAGAUGUGCAAUACUUAAAGCACAUCUAGUUGUGCCCUAGACAGACCCAUACUUUUAAAGGUUGAUUCUAUGUUAUAAGUUGAUGGUUGAUGGUUCUACCAACUUUUUUCUUGUGAUGUACAUUGAUAAUCUACUAUGGUCUUAAUAUGUUCGCAUAUCCUAACUGUAGUUGUUAUCUACUCCCUCCAUUUCAUAAUGUAAAACGUUUUUUUGACUCUAGUGUAGUGUCAAAAAGGUCUUGUAUUAUGAGACAGAGGGAGUAGCUGAUUAUACAUUUUUGUCACAAAGCUUUCUCCUCGUGCUAUUGGUUUCAUCAUUUUAAAAGAAAUGUUUGUCACCAUGGUGUGAGUACAAUUUACACAAUUUAGCUCGCAUUGUAAAGGCAACUUGUUUAACGUCAUAUGCAAUCACCCCCUCUCCGCUGCCUAUCAGUCUACGUUUGAUCUCCUAUGCUCCCUAGCCGGAUAUUCUCGAUCACUCCCAAUCACUCCCUCACGCGACCACAAUGAAUAACCACCUCGAGGACGCAAUUUCGGACAUGGUAUGACUCUAAUUUCUUUCGAUACUAUUAUCUUUAAUAAUAAUUUUAAAAUAAGGGGCCACAUUCUAAUUUCGUCCUGGCUCCCAAAAUCUCAAGACCUGGGUUGUUGAACCCACAACUUUCUGAUGCUGGCACCGCCACUCCCCAUGUACUGAUGUGGCAAGAACAUGCAUGUCGAUCACUCUUAACUAGUUAAUUUUCAAAGACGAGCUCGUGGCUCGAUGAUGGUUAUGGUGGUGGCCAGCCAGCUUGCCCAAGAUCGAUCUCUGGGAUCGACGUGGGUGUCUCAUCCGGGAUAUUACCUCACACGUCUACAAGCCAUGGAAAUAUGACGUGUCAUGAUGUAUAGGUUUUAGAUAUUGGGCGAACCAAUCUGUGGUUGGAUGGUUAAAGGGACUCUGAUAUCCCCAGUCCACUAAGGUUCAAAUCUGGUGCUUGAGUUUAUUCCUGGAUUAUUUCAGGAUUUUCGACGAUGUGCAUUCAGUAGGAGAAGACGUUCCCGUCGACAACGAGUUGCCCACGAUGACUUCGUAAAUUUCAAGAUAAUAUGCCGAUUCGGUCUUUCGGAGGUGCUCAUAGGGGUAGGGUGUGCGUGUGUGCGUUUAUAGGGAUGAGUGUAUGCACGUAUAUAUGAGCGCUUGUAUCUGGACUGUGUUAAAAAAAAGUUCUAGAUCUUGGUUGGUGUAUAGCGGGUGUCCAGUGGUGUGUGUGCUUGUGAUGUGUGUGUUGUGCGUAUAUGGAUCGAUCGAUACGGCUGGAUGGAUGCAUGGUUGCGGCCCGGUUAGUUGCGCACCUAACACGAGUGCCCGAGGGCGACUUCCUUGGUUAGUUGCAUGCGCACGCGCGACUUGCAGGUCGCGUCUGCCCCUCACCUUCCAACGUAUACACAACGCCCUCUCCCCGUACGUACAAUAUAUAUAUCCGCGUGCGUACAACGUCCAGAAAACCACAACCCAAACGACCGAGCCUUUCAUCAAGGAACAAACCAUCAUACGAGACAGACGCCGGCCGCGACACAAGCGGACGAUCCCCGGAGUGCGGAUCGAUGGCGCCGGUGAGCAACGAGACGUUCCUCCCGACGGCGGCCUGGGGGGAGGCGACGCUGCGCCCGUCCUUCGUGCGGGACGAGGACGAGCGGCCCAAGGUGGCGCACGACCGCUUCAGCGAUGCGGUGCCGGUGAUCUCGCUCGAUGGCAUCGACGGCGCGCGCCGGGCCGAGAUCCGGGACCGCGUGGCGGCGGCCUGCGAGGGCUGGGGCAUCUUCCAGGUGGUCGACCACGGCGUCGACGCCGACCUCAUCGCCGACAUGACGCGCCUCUCUCGCGAGUUCUUCGCGCUGCCCGCCGAGGACAAGCUCCGGUACGACAUGUCCGGUGGCAAGAAGGGCGGCUUCAUCGUCUCCAGCCACCUGCAGGUAUACACGCAUUCAUUUAUUUAUUUUUGCGGGUACACACGCACAUGCAUGCCAUGCCAUGCCAGGUAAAAAAGAUUUAGUACUAUAUAAAAUUAAGAUGAAACAGAUUGCAGUUUAGCUACAUGUCAGUUAACUGAAUUCCGAAUUUGGGUCAGUCAGUUUUGAAUGAAGGAAGGAGGAGUGACCUCACCGGAGAGAAAGAAGGGACUCGCCAUCAUCACCCCAUUAGCUAUCUUAGGGUUCAGGGUGGAUGAUGAUGGUGGGGAACGGUGGCGGGGCUUUGCCGGAGAAAAAAUCGGCCAUCGUUGGGGCCAGAGGAAUGGCCGAGGGCGAUACCAGAAUGGCGGUGGGAGGAGGUUGAGGAGAGGGCGAGGCGACGAGGCAGUGCGGGAGCGCCGCCGACGGGCAAUGGUGGCCGGCGGUUCGGCCGGUGGUCCGUGGGGGCGGUUGGGCAAGACAGUGUGUGAGGAAGAAGAGCAAGCUGCGCAAGGUCGAGGCCGAAGGCUGCGCGUUAGAUUUUGAUCCAACGGUUAAAAUAGAAUCAAUUGACCCGUUCGAAAAAUUCAGUGACUGUCUUGUAGCCGCUUCCAACAAAUUGAUCCAUGCAUGUAUGAAGAAACUCACAAGAUUUUUUUGUGGCGAUGCAGGGUGAGGCGGUGCAGGACUGGAGGGAGAUUGUGACCUACUUCUCGUACCCGGUGAAAGCACGGGACUACGGGCGGUGGCCGGAGAAGCCGGCGGGGUGGCGCGCUGUGGUGGAGCGAUACAGCGAGCGACUCAUGGGGCUGUCGUGCAAGCUGCUGGGCGUGCUGUCCGAGGCGAUGGGCCUGGAGUCGGAGGCGCUCGCCAAGGCGUGCGUGGACAUGGACCAGAAGGUGGUGGUCAACUUCUACCCGCGGUGCCCCCAGCCGGACCUCACCCUGGGUCUCAAGCGUCACACCGACCCCGGCACCAUCACCCUCCUCCUCCAGGACCUCGUCGGCGGCCUCCAGGCCACCCGCGACGGCGGCAAGACCUGGAUCACCGUCCAGCCCAUCUCCGGCGCAUUCGUCGUCAACCUCGGCGACCACGGCCACGUCAGUACCCCCUUCAUCUUCUUCCAUGCCAUGCAUGCUAUAAUCCUUAAUCGAUCGAUCGAACACCAAUUGAACACUGUUGUAACUGUGCUUUGUGCAUGCAGUUCCUGAGCAAUGGCAGGUUCAAGAACGCGGACCACCAGGCGGUGGUGAACGGGGAGAGCAGCAGGCUGUCGAUCGCGACAUUCCAGAACCCGGCGCCGGACGCGAGGGUGUGGCCGCUGGCGGUGAGGGAGGGGGAGGAGCCCAUACUGGAAGAGCCCAUCACCUUCGCCGAGAUGUACCGCCGCAAGAUGGAGCGCGACCUCGACCUCGCCAAGCGCAAGAAGCAGGCCAAGGACCAGCUGAUGCAGCAGCAGCUCCAGCUGCAGCAGCAGCAGCAGGCGGUCGCCGCCGCGCCCAUGCCCACCGCCUCCAAGUCUCUCAACGAAAUUCUUGCCUGAUCAUUCCGGCGGCGCGCGAUUAAAUAUUUUAAAUUGAUUGAUGCGUGGUGGGAUUGAUUAUUCUCCUAAGUACGAGAUUAAUUAUGCAUAUAGUAUCCGUACGUGUGUAGCAGGGAGGAGCUCGACCUGUAAUAAUGUCGUGCGUGGAACUGAACCGAGCUAAGUAAGGAGCUAUCGUGAGUUUGGCGUGUGCAGAAAUAUAGCGUAUAUUUCGUACUGGUUUCUGUUAUAACCCAGCAGUGUGGUUGGGCUACAUUCGUUUCGUGUGCACAUGAGUUGUCCAUGUGCAUUUGGAACGGCGAGAGGCCUCACCCACCAGGGCUAGAGUGGUAGACGAUGCAUAACUUGGCAGUUACAAGACGGUUUUGCUAUUUCUAGAAAUAUUGCAAUGAACAUCAUAAUCAUGGGCUGUUGGAACAUUUGGAUGGAGCAAACACUAGAAUUUCUAAUAAUUGCAAUCCUAGAAAUCAGUCCUAGAAGCUGCUGCUCAAAAAGGACUUGAUCAUGGCAGGCUACAAAAUUAGCCACAAGUUUCUUCAAACUCAUCAAGAGUGGAUUGGUUCAAACUUAUAGUUUCGGAACGGUUUAACAAUUUCUUAUAAACCUUCCAAAUAUGUUUUCCAGAGCAUGCAUUGGAUUGACAGGAUUUAGACAGGCAUUGAAUGCAAAUGACCAUUUGACCUAAACCCAAGAUGCAAAUGUGAUGAAUCUUAUAAUUAAUACUCCAAGAAUUUUGAUUUACUUUGUUGAAAGUAUUUUUAUAUUUCCAAAAUAAAUAAUAACUGCAAAAAACAUGUAAACAAUGUUCGAAAGGUGUUUCUUAUGUACUCCCUCGGAUCCAUAUUAGUUGUACAGCUUUAGUAUAACUUUACUACAAGUUGUACUAAAGUUGCGACAAUUAAUUUGGAUCGGAGGGAGUAGACAACUGGACUGGGGUUCAUAGUUUCACCAAUAGUGACUUUCCACAAGAUAAAAGCACGGCAAAGGUAACAUAGUUAUUUGAAUUCAAAUAUUUCAUACUUAAGAUAGAAUUUGUAUGAUGUGAUGGGAUUACAUAGAGAGUACAUUCAUAAAGUCACAUACUGUUGAUUGUACCCCCGAAGCCUUUAGCUCUUUAUUGUGACAAACACGUUUACUAUCCUCAAUCCUUAGUGGCAAUAACAUAAUGCAAGCAUUCUCCUUUUAUUAUCACCAAUGUAGAUUACUUGCAAGAUUAACCGAACUAAUGCAACCACUCUCUCUGUGUUGGACAUAAUAUAGAUCUAUUACCAGUGACAAGUUAAUUAACAAUUAAUAGUAUAGUUGCAGAGGCAUUUUGCUCCUAGGCAUUGAGUGAAAGGAUCGAUAUGGUUGACUAGAGGGGGGGUGAAUAGGCAACUAACAUUUUUUAGACUUUUCUUUAACAAUUUAAACCUUGCAAUGAAAUAAGUUGUCUAGAUGUGCAACUACGUGGACAACCUAUAUGAUGCAAAGACAAUGAGCACACAAGCAAGCAAUGGAUAUAGCACAAGUAAGCUUGCAAAAGUAAAGGGAUAAGAAAACUAAGAGUGGAGCCGGUGGAGACGAGGAUGUGUUACCGAAGUUCCUUCCUUUUAAGGGGAAGUACGUCUCCGUUAGAGCGGUGUGGAGGCACAAUGCUCCCCAAGAAGCCACUAGGGCCACCGUAAUCUCCUCACGCCCUCACACAAUGCGAGAUGCCGUGAUUCCACUAUUGGAGCCCUUGAAGGCGGCAACCGGACCUUUACAAACAAGAUUGGGGCUAUCUCCACAACAAUUGGAGGCUCCCAAUAAUCCCGCGAAGCUUCACCACAAUGGAGUAUGGCUUCGAGGUGACCUCAACCGUCUAGGGUGCUCAACACCCAAGAGUAACAAGAUCCGCUAGGGAUAAGUGGGGGGAAUCAAAUAUCCUGUGGUGGAAGUGUAGAUCGGGCACUUGUCACCCAAUCCCGAGCAAAUAAACAAGUUUGAUUGGCUAGGGAGAGAGAUCGAGUGGAAAUGGAGCUUGGAGCAACAAUGGAGCUUAGAGAUGGAAGAGGUGGUCAACUAGAGGUAGAAGACGCCCCUUAUAUAGUCGUGGACAAAUUCCAACCGUUAUCCACAUGUUCAGCCCGCGACACACGGUACUACCGCUCCAGGGGCGCGGUACUACCGCGCGGUUGUGCGGUACUACCGUGGCUGACCACAGUACUACCGCGACAGCAACACAGGCUGGCACUACCCUGAUAAGGGGGCAGUACUACCGCUUGUGCGGUACUACCGCACCCACCUGCGGUACUACCGCAAGGCAGGAAAGUCACGACCUGGGAAGGGCGCGGAAGAAAUAAAUUACAUCCGUGCCUACUUCCGCUGAACCGGAGGAGGAACAAAAAUCCGACGCGGUACUACCGCCCGCGAGGCGCGGUACUACCGUGCGGACGUGGAUGUAAAAAAUUACAUCCGCGCCUACUACCGCGACACUGCGGUACUAGAUAGGAGGGCCACGGUACUACGACUCCUAGGGAGCGGUACUACCGUGGGCCUCUGCGGUACUACCGCUCUGGACGAGCGGUACUACCGUGGAGGGCACGGAUGUAAAAAUUACAUCCGCCCCUACUACCGCACCGGAGCGGCACAAGGCCAGGGAGUCGCGGUACUACCGCUCCAGAUGAGCGGUACUACCGUGACACCCAACGGUACUACCGCGUGUGCUUGCGGUACUACCGCAAGCACAACAGUAGUCGUCAGAUUUCCGUACAACCAAGAUAACAGAGGGAAGCUCCAAAAUGCAGGGAAAGGAGGAACAAGUGUACGUGUUGAUUCCACCCAAACCUUUCCGACGCGGACCCCAUCUUAAUAGUACGGCUCUCCUACGACUCAAAUCCACCAAAGAGAAACGUAGAACGACGCCAACUUCAAUAGUCUCCGAGGGGCACCGAAUCGUCUCAUGCCUAGAUAUGAAUAACCUGGGAAACUCAAGGCACAUGAUUAGUCCGCAAAAGCAUUGUCAUCAAUCACCAAAACACCUGAGGGAAAAAUAUGCCCUUACAAUCUCCCCCUUUUUGGUGGAUUGAUGACAACACGGGAUUUGCAUAUGGAUAAGAUAAUUUAGAGCAGGGGCAAACCCCACCUCUCUAAAAUAUAGACGGGCUCCCCCUAGAUGUGUGCACUUUAGAUGAAUGCUUUGGACUGCAUAGCACACAGACUAGGAUCAACACUCCUCCUAUAUUUUAGAGACUAAGACAUGAUAAUAAGCAUAGCAUAGCAUAAAAAUAGCACAAUAUACCACGAGCUCGCUAGGAUAGAUAGAGUGCAUAUGUCUUACACCAUACAAAGUAAAGCUACCGAGGUUCAACCGAGAAAGCAGCAAACACACGACACAAACGAGAAAGCAGCAAACACAUGACACACUCGCAAAUCCCUACACUCUCUCCCCCUUUGGCAUCGAGACGCCAAAAAGGCAGAGAGGACACCUACACACAAGAGGUGGCUCAAGCAGAGAACUCGUCCCAAUCCUCUCCAUCGGACGCCUCGGCAGCAGGGAUGGUCUCCUCGACAUCCUCCUCAGACUCAGUCCACCUGUAGCCCUGCUUCUCCAUCCACUCGGCUUCUGGAGUGAUGUGCUCCUCAGACCCGCCAGACACUGCCUCACCAUAGAGCUGCAAGAUCUUGUUGUCCCGGCGAUGACUCUCCUUGGACGCCACGUGAGUCCUGUACUGCCCCUUGGCUUGCAUGCAGAAAAGAGUCUUCAUCUUGUCCUUCAGCUUCUUGGCCCAUGAUGGCAUAGAGGCACUCUGGGAAGGUCUAGCAGCAUGGCCCUCGGCAACAUCCUCGGGGCCAGCAUCCUCCUCAUCAACAGCAGUCCUAGUAGCAGUCGCCUCGGCGCGAGUAGUGGUGUUGGCCCAGUUCGGUUUGAUACGCAGGCAAAUGGGCUCAUGGCGAACCCAGUCAGGAGCAAGAAACUCAUCAGCAGGAAACAUCUUCUCCCAAGUCUUCGAAAUCAGCAGAAACAGAUAGGGCCCAUAGAUAGGCACCUUGCGGUUGAACACUGCAAACCGGAGCUCACACCACAUGAUGUGUGAGACAUCAAGUGGCUGUGACUGAGACGAACGAGCAUCCUCGCAAAUGAGCAUCAUAUCCACCAUAUAGGCAUGAACCUUGUCUUUAUCACCGAUGCGAAGGAACAAGGAGUUGCGGAAGAUGCGAUACAUGAUAUCCAGGAAAGGGUUGAGCACCAAAGUUGUCUUGCCAUUGGCGAGUGCCUUCUCAACCAUGAAAGGGGCAAGUCUGUCCUUGCUGGCAGAAUCAGCAUUGGCAUGGGGGCGAACACCCACUGGAGAGUCGAGACCAUCAUCAGGAACCUGGAGGAGAUCCAUGAACUCCUUCCAGGUGGCAGAUAGCUUACGGCCGUUGGUCAUCCAGGUCAUCCUCCGGUCCUCAUCGGAGUGAAAGUAGACUGAGGCAAAGAACUGACAGAUGAGCUCAGGGUCAUAGUCGAGGUGGAAGGUAAUCACAUGCUCAAUGCCAAACUGCUCCACCAAGUCCAGAGCCUCUCCAAAGUAGUCACGAAACUUUUCCUUCCUCAUGUGAUGCAUAUCAAUCCACUUCACCUCCACAUAGGUGUUCUGCUUGUUCUUGAUGACAUCCAGAUAGAUGUUGACCUAUUGCUUGUUCCAGAACAACUCACAGCCUUUGAAAGUGGCACGCGGAUGCACAUAAGGGUGAAGCUGCCUGAGACGGACAUAAUCAGCUUGGGCAAUCUCAUCCAUGCCCUUAGCGGGCUCCUUGUGCUUGCUAGCUGAGUGCUUGACAUUGCGCUUGGAGGCAGACGAGCCUUCUGGUACUUCACCUGGGUUGCGCAGACGUUUAGAGCCAGUGUCACGACUGGGGUUGGACCGGCGAGAGCCACCACCUGAGACACACACGCAAAACACCAAAGACGCGAGAAGAUCAAUGCAAAGGCCACGAAAAAGCACAAGAAACACAUAGAAGGCAUACGAGAAAGUUGGCAUGCGAUAGAUGUGAGCCACGGUAAAACUGCCACUGCUUGCGGUACUAAAAUAUUAGUACAGCUCCAACCGCGGUAGUACCGUGCUAGGGCACGGUAGUACCGUGGUUAGGGCGGAAGUAAACUUUUAGUACCACACAGAACGCGGUAGUACCGCUCCUGAGGGGUGGUAGUACCGCGCAAGUGGUAGUACCGCGCCAGACGGGCGGUAGUACCGCGUCGCGUCAGAUCCAACGGACGGUUUGAAUCUGAAAAGAACCGCGAAACAAUGGUGGUGCCACGGUGAUCCGAUCUAGCGCAAGACAACAAUACAAGUAUAAAUCCUAUGCAAUACCACGCUCCAUCAUCCUACUCUUGCAGAGAUUAAGCCUAUGAAUCUCAAGAACACACAAGCCUCCCCCAAAACCUAGAAACACUAAACACAAACAACACGGAGAGGGAGUUGGGGAAAAACCUUGGUCCAUAGCAAGAGCACGUGGUGGGGAACGAUCCCACCGUUCGGAAUCACAGGAGGGCAGCCGGUGGAGGAGAUCCGGCGACGAACGCCGGCUCCGUUCUUGAGCGAGGGAGAGAAGGAGACGACGUGGAGAGAGAGGACAGCGAAUGGGUAUGGGGAGUUAGAACUCCCCCUGCCCGUCCUUAUCCCCACACGCUCGAACCGGCGCGGUAGUACCAUGUAUCAUCGCGGUAGUACCGCUCGGGCGGAAGUACCGCGCCGAGGCGGUAGUACCGCUCAACCAGGCGGCAGUAAAAAAUUACUGCCGCGUGGUGUCGGUAGUACCGUGCUCCCGCAAGCGGUAGUACCGUGGCAGUGUGCGGUAGAACCGUAACCGACCGCGGUAGUACCGUGAGCUCAAGUCACCGCACGUUUCAACACAAAAAGAAGAAACCUUUGCACGGAAACUUUUCACACACAAGAAACAUAGGAACACGCACAAACCAGAGGCAAGAAGACAACAAGAAACCACCGAGCGACAAAGCCUCUCGAGGAGAGAGGGCGGUGGCUGAAGCCACCUAUGUUUGAGUUGGAUGGUAUGGCACCGCGAAGAAUUAUCCUUGGGCCCAUGACCAAAACUCGCCUUUGAAGCACAAGCACCAUUAAAAAUGGCUAAUGUGAAAGAGGUGAUCGAUUUAUGAAUAAUGGGGGGAGGGAGAGUUCAUUGAGAGAACAACACUCCCCCUACGUCUAUGCCUACACCUAAACUAGACAGCACGUUGAGUGUGGUGGGGGGUGUACGGGUUCAAGUCACAUUGCUCAAAUCAAUGAUAUUUAGCUCAUGCCUUAACUCGCGAAAUCUUGCUUCAUCCAAGGGCUUCGUGAAAAUAUUUGCAAGGUUAUCAUGAGUGUUGACAUACUUGAGCUCGAUCUCCCCUCGCCUAAUGUGAUCCCGGAUGAAGUGAUACCGAAUCUCAAUGUGCUUCGUCUUGAAGUGUUGUACCGGGUUGAGAGAAAUCUUGAUGGCACUUUCAUUAUCACACCAAAGAGGCACUUUAUCACAAACGACACCGUACUCCUUUAAAGUUUGCCUCAUCCAUAGGAGUUGAGCACAACAACUACCGGCCGCCACAUACUCCGCUUCGGUGGACGAGAGGGACACACAACUUUGCUUCUUGGAAGACCAACUUACCAAAGAGCAACCAAGAAAUUGGCACCCUCCGGAAGUGGACUUCCUAUCCACUUUGUCCCCCGCCCAAUCGGAAUCCGUGAAACCUUCAAGCUUGAAAUUUGCUCCUCUUGGGUACCAUAAGCCAAAGUUUGGGGUAUGAGCCAAAUAUCGAAAGAUUCUCUUGACCGCCACAUAGUGACUUUCCAUUGGUGCGGCUUGAAACCGUGCACACAUCCCCACACUCAACAUGAUAUCCGGUCUAGAUCCACAAAGGUAAAGCAAGGAGCCAAUCAUGGAGCGAUAUACCUUUUGAUCCACCGCUUUACCAUUGGGAUCGAUGUCAAGUUGGCACUUGGUAGGCAUUGGUGUAGAAGCCGGCUUGACAUCACUUAGCUUGAAUCUUUUAAGCAUGUCUUGAGUGUAUUUGGCUUGGUUGAUGAAGGUUCCUUCUCUUCGUUGUUUGAUGUCAAAACCAAGGAAGAACUUCAACUCUCCCAUCGAAGACAUCUUGAACUUGGAGGUCAUGAGAGCGGCAAAUUCCUCAUUGAAAGCUUUGUUAGGAGAACCAAAGAUAAUAUCAUCAACAUAUAGUUGGCAUACAAACAACUCCCCUUUGACCUUCUUAGUAAAAAGAGUGGGAUCGAUUUGUCCUACUUCAAAUCCACGAUCUUGUAGCAACUCGGAAAGGUGGUCAUACCACGCACGUGGGGCUUGUUUAAGGCCAUAGAGUGCCUUAUCGAGUUGAUACACGUGAUCCGGGAAGUAGGGGUCCUCGAACCCGGGGGGUUGCUUGACAUAAACCAACUCAUUAAUGGGACCAUUAAGAAAAGCACUUUUCACAUCCAUUUGUUGCAACUUAAAGUUGUGAUGGGAAGCAUAAGCAAUCAACAAACGAAUGGAUUCAAGACGAGCAACGGGAGCAAAGGUUUCACCGUAGUCGAUGCCCUCGACUUGGGAGUAGCCUUGUGCUACCAAUCUUGCCUUGUUGCGAAUGAUGUUCCCAUGAGCAUCUUGCUUGUUCUUGAAGAUCCACUUUGUUCCAAUGACGUUGUGGUUCCCCGAAGGUCUUGGCACCAAUCUCCACACCUUGUUGUACUCGAAGUUGUUUAGUUCUUCAUGCAUGGCAUUGAGCCAAUCCGAGUCUUCGAGCGCCUCAUAGACCUUUUGGGGUUCAACACAAGAGACAAACGCAUGAUGUUCACAAUAGUUAGCUAAUUGUCUACGAGUGCUUACCCCCUUUCUUAGACUUCCAACCACGUUUUCCAUGAGAUGGCCUUGGGUGGUGAGUUUGGAAGCAAUCUUCACGGCACGAUGCUCUAAUUCUUCCUCGGGUGUGGAAGGAGGAAGGUUAACUUGAUCAUCUUGAGCGCCGUCUUGAGAUUGCUCAUGAUCUUGAACUUGCUCGAGGGGGAGAACUUGACCUUGGGCAUCAUUUGGAGGUUCACCUCCAUCUUGAGGUUGAUCUUGCCCUUGGUCUUGUUCAUGAAGGUGAGGGCCUUCACUUUGUUCUUCGGAAGCGUGUGGGUCUUGGGGAGGUGAUGGCUCCACUUGAGUGGAGCAUUGUCCUUCUCCUUCGGCCACGAGGGGUUCCUCAAUGGGUAGGAUAUGACCAAUACCCAUUCUUCUUAUGGCUUGGGGAGGAAUUUCAUCACCUACAUCACAAGUACCACUUUGCUCCACUUGGGAGCCGUUAUUUUCAUCAAACUCUACGUUACACGUCUCCUCAAUGAGUCCGUUGGACUUGUUGAGAACACGGUAAGCAUGAGAGUUUGUAGCAUAACCAACAAAUAUGCCCUCAUGAGCUCUAGCUUCAAAUUUAGACAAAAUAACACCUUUCUUGAGAAUGAAACACUUACACCCGAACACCCGGAAGUACUUGAGAUUGGGCUUGUUCCCGGUGAGUAUCUCAUACGGAAUCUUGUUCAAGACUUUGCGGAGAUAGAGCCGAUUGGAUGCAUGACAAGCUGUGUUGAUGGCUUCGGCCCAGAAGUUGUAUGGAGACUUGAACUCCGCCAUCAUGGUCCUUGCCGCAUCCAUCAACGUCCGGUUCUUUCUCUCCGCAACACCAUUUUGUUGAGGGGUAUAUGGUGCAGAAUAUUGAUGCUUGAUCCCUUCAUCACUAAGAAACUCAUCCAAGGUGUAGUUCUUGAACUCGGUGCCGUUGUCACUUCUUAUUGUCAAGAUCUUUGCAUCGUGUUGACGUUGAGCUUCAUUUGCAAAGUCGAUGACGGUUUGUUGGGUCUCACUCUUCCUCUUGAAGAAGUAUACCCAAGUGUAUCUUGAAUAAUCAUCCACUAUCACCAAGCAAUACUUUCUACCCCCAAGACUAUCAAAGGAUGGGGGCCCAAAGAGGUCCAUGUGAAGGAGCUCCAAGGGUCUCUUCGAGUAGAUGAUAGUCGUGGGAGGGUGAGCCGUCUCAUGAAGCUUUCCUUCGAUACAAGCACUGCAAACACGAUCUUUGGCAAAACUAACAUUCGUUAGUCCAUGAACAUGGUCCCCCUUGAGAAGACUUUGCAAAGAUCUCAUAUUGACAUGGGCUAAACGGCGAUGCCAAAGCCAUCCCACAUCAACUUUAGCCAUUAGGUAUGUCGCGGUCUUAGUGGGUUGUUCUGAGAAGUUAACCACAUAGAGGUCGUUCUCGACAUGCCCAACAAAGGCUACUUUAAGAGUCUUGCUCCACAAGAGGGCCACGGUAUCAAUAUCAAAGAAGGUGGCAAAACCCAUGAGUGCGAGUUGACGAACGGAAAGUAAAUUGAACGCAAGGGACUCAACAAGCAUGACUUUCUCGAUCGUUAGAUCAUGAGAAAUGACAACCUUGCCAAGACCCAAUACCUUAGAAUGUGAGGCAUCACCCCAUUCGACAUUGGUGGGCAUAGAUGGGAUAUUGUGCAUGUCCACCACCAAGUCCUUGCUCCCGGUCAUAUGAUUUGUUGCUCCACUAUCGAGCAACCAUGAUCUCCCACCGAAAGCAAACACCUACAAGGGAUCAAUGCUUGGUUUUAGGUACCCAUUGAGUAAUGGGUCCUUUGAUGUUAGUAACAAGGGUCUUAGGAACCCAAAUAGACCAUUCAAUGUACUCAUAAGGAGAACCGACAAAUUUAGCAUAAACAUGUCCAUCACUAGCACGACACAACACAUAAGAGGGGUUAAAGUCGCCGGCUUUGUUGGGAGAGAUGGCGUUGCGCUCUUUGGCUUCACCACUCUUCCCAUUGUUCUUCUUCUCCUUAGGAGCACCUUCUCCCUCCUUCACAAAGGUUUGCGUGAGCGGAGGAGGUCGAUUGGUCUUGCUCUUCUUCUCCUUGUUCUUCUUCUUGUUCUUGGACUUGGGUGUGAACCCAACUCCCUCCUUGCCCACAACUUCCUUUUGAUUGCUCAAAAGGUCAUUUAGGUUCUUCUCGCCUUGUAUGCAUGACACAAGACCUUUCUCGAGUUGUUCCUUCAACUUGGCAUUUUCCUCCACAAGAUGCACAUGCUCACAACAUGGGUUAGUAUCAUUUGCAUUAUCAAUUAAGACCAUGUGAGGAAAUGUGGCCUUUUCCUUGGUUAGCUUAACUUGGAGUUGAGCAUGAGACUCCUUGAGGGUGGCAUGAGCACCUUUCAAGACCUUGUGGGCCUUGUCAAGUACAUCAAACUCCUCCGUGAGUCUAACAUGAUCAACCCCAAGUUUAGCCUUCUCGGAAGCUAGAACACGAGACACAACAAGAGCAUGAUCAAGAUCUUUCUUUAGUUUAGCAUGACCAUCGUUGUGUGACUCCUCAAGAUCCAAACGAUGCCCACGCUCUUCCUCAAGAGCAUUAGAGAGAUCCGAUAUCUCAUCGGCAUAGUCACGACUAUGACUUUCCAUCUUAGUGAUGGUUUCUUCAUGAGCCUCGAUCAUGUCAUUGGCUUCACCAAGUUGUUCCAAGAGAGCAACGAAAUGCUUCUUGGAUUUGCCCUUGAGCUUACUCAUGAAGGACUCAAAUUCAUUGAACUCCUCAUUAGACCCCUUACCAUUAUCAUAGUCAUCCGUUGAAGGAGGGUUAGGAAUAAUGGUGGUUUUGAUGUUGGGGGUUACCUUGUUGGUGGCCUUAGCCAUGAGGCACUUGGUGGUGAUGUUCUCGUUAGGUGCAUCGAAGAGAGACACCCGAGGAGUUGAGACAAUGGCAACAGAUGCCAUGGCCAUUGUUUCACCAUCUUCAUCAUCAUCGUCAUCCUCAUGGUAUUCUUCUUGAACCACCAACCCGCGAGGAGGAGUCUUCUUGGUGAAGUUGUUCUUGUUGGGGAAGGACUUGGCUUUGUCUUUUCGAAUGAACUUGCCACCAUUGUCUUCCCGCUUCUUGUAUGGACAAUCCGCAACGAAAUGGCUGACAUUGCCACAGUUGAAACAAGUUCUAACUCGUUGCUUCCCCUUGAGGCCACUUGAGUUGUUCUUGUUGAAGUUGGGUCUUGUAGUCUUCUUACUCCAAAACUGUCUGGAGGCAAGAGCCAUGUGCUCAUGAUAAUCAUACUUCGUGUCCUCGGGGUUGCUCUCCUCAUCUUCCUCUUCUUCUUCUUCUUCCACACUAACCUUGGCCUUCAAGGCAAGAUUGGGCUUCUUUGCCCUUUGGGAACGGAGCACCGCAUUGUCGGCGGUCUUAUCCAAGAUGUUCAUUGCAACAAACUCAUCCAACACUUCACCAGAGAUCAUGGAGUGGAAGUCCGGUCUUUGGCGGAUGACAGAGGAAAUGGUCUUAUUGUAGGGCAUCAUGGCCUUGAGGAACUUGCGCUUGAUCCAGUUGUCAUCCGUGUCCUUGCUCCCAUGAUCUCGGAGUGCGACCGCAAGUUUGGUCACUCUUCGAAAGAGCUCACGAGGUUCUUCAUCUUCUUUCAUUGCAAACUCAUCGGCUUCAUCUUGCACCACUUCAUAGUUGGAGCGUUAAAUGCUAGCACUUCCUCGAUACAUACGCUCGACACACUUCCAUGCUUCUUUAGCCAUGACAUGAGGUCGAAGAUGAGGGAGAUCUUCGGGAAGGAUAGCAUCUUGGAUGAUGAAGAGAGCACUCUCAUUGAAUUGGUUGUCCACUUCUUCUCGAGGGGUGAAGUUGCUUGGAUCAUGAGGAUAGAAAUCUUCUUCAAUAAUUCUCCAAAGGUUAGUAUUCACAUGUUUUAAAUGACGCUUGAAGCGAUAAACCCAAGAAUCAUAAUCUUCAUUUUUCACAUAUUUAGGAGGAGGACCGGCAUGAUUCAAAUGCGUAGAGGGGAUCGGUCCUUUAUACACCGGGGGUUCCACAUGGGCAUAGAUGCCGCUGCAAUUUCUACCACUAGUAGACGGACUCUUUUCACUAUUAGCUUCCCCCUUGUUGGGGUUAGCAUCCAUCACCUUGUUAGUGGGAUCACCCACUUUCAUCGGCGAGGUAGAUAGUUUGAGUCCCUCUAGGAAUUCAGUAAACAUGCUUUUAACCUCGGCCGUCAUGGAGGUUUUCAAUGUGUCUAAAGCCACAUUGAAUUCAUCACGAGAGACCGAGGUUCCCCCUUCGGCCGAAGACGAGACGGGAUUCACACCGGAGUGCUCCUCCGCACCGUCGUUGACGUCAACCAUACUCUUCGGACGGCAAAGUCCUUAAUAAAGAAACGAGGCUCUGAUACCAAUUGAAAGGAUCGAUAUGGUUGACUAGAGGGGGGGUGAAUAGGCAACUAACAAUUUUUAGACUUUUCUUUAACAAUUUAAACCUUGCAAUGAAAUAAGUUGUCUAGAUGUGCAACUACGUGGACAACCUAUAUGAUGCAAAGACAAUGAGCACACAAGCAAGCAAUGGAUAUAGCACAAGUAAGCUUGCAAAAGUAAAGGGAUAAGAAAACCAAGAGUGGAGCCGGUGGAGACGAGGAUGUGUUACCGAAGUUCCUUCUUUUUAAGGGGAAGUACGUCUUCGUUAGAGCGGUGUGGAGGCACAAUGCUCCCCAAGAAGCCACUAGGGCCACCGUAAUCUCCUCACGCCCUCACACAAUGCGAGAUGCCGUGAUUCCACUAUUGGAGCCCUUGAAGGCGGCAACCGGACCUUUACAAACAAGAUUGGGGCUAUCUCCACAACAAUUGGAGGCUCCCAAUAAUCCCGCGAAGCUUCACCACAAUGGAGUAUGGCUUCGAGGUGACCUCAACCAUCUAGGGUGCUCAACACCCAAGAGUAAAAAGAUCCGCUAGGGAUAAGUGGGGGGAAUCAAAUAUCCUGUGGUGGAAGUGUAGAUCGGGCACUUGUCACCCAAUCCCGAGCAAAUCAACAAGUUUGAUUGGCUAGGGAGAGAGAUCGAGUGGAAAUGGAGCUUGGAGCAACAAUGGAGCUUAGAGAUGGAAGAGGUGGUCAACUAGAGGUAGAAGACGUCCCUUAUAUAGUCGUGGACAAAUUCCAACCGUUAUCCACAUGUUGAGCCCGCGACACAUGGUACUACCGCUCCAGGGGCGUGGUACUACCGCGCGGCUGUGCGGUACUACCGUGGCUGACCACAGUACUACCGCGACAGCAACACAGGCCGGAACUACCCUGAUAAGGGGGCAGUACUACCGCUUGCGCGGUACUACCGCACCCACCUACGGUACUACCACAAGGCAGGAAAGUCACGGCCUGGGAAGGGCGCGGAAGAAAUAAAUUACAUCCGUGCCUACUUCCGCUGAACCGGAGGAGGUACAAAAAUCCGACGCGGUACUACCGCCUGCGAGGCGCGGUACUACCAUGCGGACGCGGAUGUAAAAAAUUACAUCCGCGCCUACUACCGCGACACUGCGGUACUAGGUAGGAGGGCCAUGGUACUACGACUCCUAGGGAGCGGUACUACCAUGGGCCUCCGCGGUACUACCGCUCUGGACGAGCGGUACUACCGUGGAGGGCGCGGAUGUAAAAAAUUACAUCCGCCCCUACUACCGCACCGGAGCGGCACAAGGCCAGGGAGCCGCGGUACUACCGCUCCAGAUGAGCGGUACUACCGUGACACCCAGCGGUACUACCGCGUGUGCUUGCGGUACUACCGCACGCACAGCAGUAGUCGUCAGAUUUCCGUACAACCAAGAUAACAGAGGGAAGCUCCAAAAUGCAGGGAAAGGAGGAACAAGUGUACGUGUUGAUUCCACCCAAACCUUUCCGACGCGGACCCCCUCUUAAUAGUACGGCUCUCCUACGACUCAAAUCCACCAAAGAGAAACGUAGAACGAUGCCGACUUCAAUAGUCUCCGAGGGGCACCGAAUUGUCGCAUGCCUAGAUAUGAAUAACCUGAGAAACUCAAGGCACAUGAUUAGUCCGCAAAAGCAUUGUCAUCAAUCACCAAAACACCUGAGGGAAAAAUAUGCCCUUACAUUGAGUAUCACCACCAUGUGAACAAAAAGAUGACUUGCAACUUGGGAGCGCUUUAACAGACUUGACUACAAAAUGUAAGUUAAUCUUCUACAGGACUAAAAGCACACCAUACCCAAGUCCAUUAACUAUACAACCAAGUCCAUUAACUGUGACCACUUCAAACCAUUGUUUCUUGCUUUGAUGUUUUGCCCUUAUUUCACCUUUUGCAGGGAAUUAACCAGGCAACAACUAGCGGUAUACCUUUGAGUGCCAGACUACAUAGCAGGAGGGAGAUGUCAGUAUUGUUCUAUAGAUGUUGAUUCGAAAGUUACAUAGGGAAGGUGUAUGUGCCUGGUCGUAAGUUGUUGACAAUUGGUCUUCGGUUCAAUUUUGAUUUUUCUCCAACAUGAAUAGACUGCAAGAAAGACUCAAAAAAUAUGUUUGGCAGCACCAGGCAUGGUCUUACUAUUUGAAAAACAAAAAUUGAUAGUACUGACAUCUCAUGUUGUUGUCGUAUGGGCUAACCCAUACAGGCCACAGAGCCACAUUCAUGUCAUGACAUUCACUUCCUUGGGCGCAAUUUAGUUGUAACUGCUACUUCUUGAGCUUGCGUUGGUUUUCCCCUGAAGACGAAAGUGUGAUGCAGCAAAGUCGAGAUAAGUAUUUCCCUUAGUUUAAGACCCAAGGUAUCAAUCCAGUAGGAGGAACACACAAGUCUCCAAUGAUAGCACCUACACAAACAAACAAAUACUUGUACCCAACGCGAUAAAGGGGUUGUCAACCCCUUCACGGUUACUUGCAAGGAUAAGACCUUAUAAAGAUAGGUAUACAAGAUAAAUAAAAGUAUAAAAUAAAGUAAAGGUAAAUAAAUUGCAGCAAAGUCUUCAUUUCAUAGAUCUCAAAAUAAUAUUAUAGAAGAUAGACCGUGGGGUAGUUUUCACUAUAGACUUCUCUCUUGAAAGAACGCAUACGAUGGGUAUACAAAUUAUUGUUAAGCAACUGAUAGAAAAGUGCAAAGUUAUGACGAUAUCUAAGGCAAUGAUCAUGAAUAUAGACACUGCGUCCAUGACAAGUAGACCGACUCUUGCCUGCAUCUACUGCUAUUACUCCACACAUCGAUCGCUAUCCAACAUGCAUCUAGUGUAUUAAGUUAACAAGAACGGAGUAACGCCUUAAGCAAGAUGACAUGAUGUAGAGGGAUAGAUCCAAUCAAUAUGAAUAAACCCCACCUUUUUAUCCUUAAUGGCAAUAAUACGAAUAUGUGCCUCGCUACCCUUUUUGUCACUAGGCGAGGACACUGCAGGAUUGAACCCAUUACAAAGCACCUCUCCCAUUGCAAGAAAAAUCAAUCUAGUUGGCUAAACCAAAUCAAUAGAUCAGACAGAAAUACAAAGCUAUCUUAAUCAUGCAUAAAAGAGUUCACAGAAGACUCAAAUAAUAUUCAUAGAUAAUAUGAUCACAAAUCCACAAUUCAUCGAAUCUCAACAAGGACUGCAAAAGAAGAUUACAUCAAAUAGAUCUCCAAGAACAUCGAGGAGAACAUUGUAUUGAAGAUCAAAGAGAGAGAAGAAUCCACCUAGCUACUAGCUAUGGACCCGUAGGUCUGUGGUAAACUACUCACACAUCAUCAGAAGGGCAGCAAGGUUGAUGUAGAGGCCCUCCGUGAUCGAAUCCCCCUCCGAUGGAGUACCGGAACGGGUCUCUAGAUGGGAUCUCACGAGGACAGAAACUUGCAGCGGCGGAAAAGUAUUUUUAGUGUGCCCUCUGGUGUACGGGGAAUAUUUGGGUAUUAAUAGAGCUAAGAUUAGGGUUAGAGGUGCCACGGUGGGCCCACAAGCUCGGNNNNNNNNNNNNNNNNNNNNNNNNNNNNNNNNNNNNNNNNNNNNNNNNNNNNNNNNNNNNNNNNNNNNNNNNNNNNNNNNNNNNNNNNNNNNNNNNNNNNNNNNNNNNNNNNNNNNNNNNNNNNNNNNNNNNNNNNNNNNNNNNNNNNNNNNNNNNNNNNNNNNNNNNNNNNNNNNNNNNNNNNNNNNNNNNNNNNNNNNNNNNNNNNNNNNNUGGUGAGCUUGUGGCCCAUCUGUGGCUCCUCCGGACCCUUCCAAAGCUUCCUGGGUGUCUUCUGGUCCAAGAAAAAUUGUCAAAAAGUUUCGUUCCGUUUGGUAUUGGUUUUUUGUACAAGACAAAAACAAGGGAAAAACAGCAGAUGGCACUGGGCACUAGGUUAAUAGGUUAGUCCCAAAAAAUGAUAUAAAAUAGCAUGAUAGUGCAUAUAAAACAUCCAAGAUGGAUAAUAUAAUAGCAUGGAACAAUUAAAAAUUAUAGAUACGUUGGAGACGUAUCAGUAACCAUAUAGUGAUGUGCUUGCAUCCCACGAAGCUGCAAGUGCAUAGCAUGAGCAAGGCGUUUAGUUAAAUAAUCUUCCAGAUUGUAAGUAGUAUUGAAUGUCAUUAAAAUCGCCAUCGUACCAUGUACAUUUUCCGGUUAUUGUGUUACAUGAUGCAUUCGAGAAUCUAAAUAUCCAUCUUUUCUUGUGUACAAGCACCGUGAACCCGUGGAUGUUGGACAUGUUGGUUGGAAGGAAAAUCUGCAAGGAAAACUAUUUAGAAAUUUGAAGUGCAAAAAUUAAUAUGAAGUAUACGUGUAAGGCAAAGUAGUAUGUUAUAAUAUCAUGAUAGAGGUGGUUUUCUCCCUUUUCUGUUCCAUACUUGCCAGCUAGAAUCCCCCUCGUGGUAACUAUGUUAUGUCCCAUCCUUUUGCGGUAUGCCAACAUCCAACGCUCUUUCGACGAACACCUUCAUGUGUUCUCAUAUGUCCACAAGGCUAUUUAGUAUUUAGUCGGGUGAUCUCAAUAAGAGCAUUGAUGAUCUCAAAAACAAGAAAUUGAGUUAUUAAACAACACCGUAGAAAAAUAGUAUUUUGUAAAAUCACUUACAUGUCAUCUAACCAUACCUCAUGUGGUGUAGGAACAUUUUUUUCAUGAUGAUAUCAGCAGUGUGCACCAUCUCCAUUUCUCAAGUGUGUAUUGACAUAUCUGGCUAUUAGGUGCUCCUAAAACUUAUCUACAUCCUCCUUGAAUUCCAAUAUGUCCUUCGCAGUUUCCCUAAGUUUCUUGUCCCAUGAUUAUUCCUCUUAUUAUUCCUCGCAACCAUUUGCUUAACCUCGCUACUGUCAUUCAUUUCUUUAGAAAGAGCCAGAUGUUGUUUUUUCCUUCUCUUCAUCUCAGGUGUAUAAAAUUGGAAAACAUAAUUCUUGAGUAAUGGUGAUUAUUUUUCUUCUACCAUCACUUUUGACGCACUUCGCUAGGGAGUCCACAUCACUUUCCAUUGACUGGUUUGUUUUCUAGCUGUUGUGAAUAAGUAUCACCUUUGUUGGCGGAUGUGGAUUUCUACUUUGCAAUCUGUAAUAAGGAGAAUGUGUUAGUAAUAUAUAAGAUAACAAAUCAAAUCCAAAUUUGAGGGACAUCUCACCUCAAGUUCUUCAUGGGGUCGAUGGACCUGUAUUGGAUUAUGUAUCCAACCAUAUCGGUUACGCCUAUUAGUUUGGCGUGCACAUACUCUUCUGAGUUGGUAGGAUUUUAGUAACCGACAUUGUGUAGGUAUGGAUGGGUGGGCUCUAGACGAGAAUAGGUACAUGUCCAACCUACUACUCCCUCCAUCCCAAAAUAUAGUGGGUAUUAUAUUUAUUUAUUUCAAGUAAAACCUUGCAAACUUCAAUCAUGUUUAUAGAAAAUUUUGUUAACAUGUACGAUAUCAAAUAAGUACCAUUAAUUUACAAUGAAAUAUAUUUUCAUAUGGUAUAUAUUUGGUAUUAUGGAUAUAGAUAAGUUUCUCAUUAAACUUGGUCAUCACUCUAUAGCAAUGUAAAUCGAAGCAAACAUCGGCGGCUUUUCAGAAAAGAUCAAAAUACUUUUGUGCUACCUCAUCCCAUGUUCGUCGAUAUGUCCUCGUUUUCUUUGCUCUACCUCCACACUAGGUGUGUAGGAAACUUUGCGGUAGCCCCAUGUGGUGGAACCUGCUCAUCUGAAUUCAAUUCUUGACUUGAUAUGGGUACUCGUAUUUUUCUGAAUUUAUUUCUAGUUUUUCAGCCCUAAGACUCAAUGUGAGGUAUUACUCAAAAUUGUAGAGAAAUAAAAAUAAGUUUCUUGAGCACACUAUCUUAUUUCCCUUUUUCAGGCAUACACAUGUGUCUUUACAACUACUCAGUAUGCUUUUAAAUUUUUCUUGUUCUAUUAAAUAAGCAGGAAAUUGUUGCCCAAAUAAUUAAAAAACAUGGAAAAAAAUCGAUACAUUCAUGACCAAACCAACUCACACCGAAUGCAGUUGGGCCAAGUUUCCGUCGGUGUGGAAAAUCGAGGUGAAUUUGUUCCGUUAAAACCAGUUUACCUCUCACCACUAUCAGAAAGAAGAAAUCACAACUACUACGGGGAGCAGACCCGAGACUUCCACUAGAGGUAUAGAAGCACACCACAAGAUCAUGUUCUAGUUUCGUUGCCCUACAUGCCAAUUACCAACAGCCAUGGUAACCUUGCCAUCUAAGAAGAUGAGGUCAACACCGUCAAAUAUGUGGAAAAAUUGGAGCUGCCACCCAACUUCCUACCAUUAAUCUAUGUCACGUGCUGACUGUGGACACGACUAGCUUUCAAGUGUUUAGGAGAGUCCUGAUUUCCCGUUAGUACUGUACGGAGACCCAAACAACAUAAAUGUGAGCAUUAGGAUUGGAACCCUGGUGGGUGGAGUCAUGCCCCCACAACCAAUGGCGGUGCCAGGAACCAAAAGAUGUGGUUCAAGUGCAUAAAUCUCUCUAAAAUGUCCUAAACUUUUGAACAACAACUAUUAAUAAAACAAAGCUUGCAACCAAAAAAUGUGAGGUUAGCUGGCCCCACAGCUUACACAUAGAAUCACCCCUACCCACGACUCCAGCACCUCACCAAGAGGUGGUUCUCACACACCAUUGAAGUCAUAUUUAAAAGAAUUUUCUAAUGGUAUAUUGAUACGUCUCCAACGUAUUUAUAUUUUUUUUAUUAUUCUGUACUAUUAUAGUAUCAAUCUUGGAUGUUUUAGAUGCUAUUUUAUAUCGUUUUGGGGGACUAACCUAUUAACCUAGUACCCAGUGUCAGUUGCUAUUUUUUUCUUGGUUUUGGCUUUUCGGAAAAUUAAUAUCAAACAGAGUCCAAAAGAGAAAAAUCUUUGGAUUAAUUUUUUCUGGGCCAGAAGGGACCCACGUUUGGGGAACGUAGUAAUUUCAAAAAAAAUCCUACGCACACGCAAGAUCAUGGUGAUGCAUAGCAACUAGAGGGGAGAGUAUUGUCCACGUACCCUCGUAGACCGAAAGCGGAAGCGUUAGCACAACGCGGUUGAUGUACUCGUACGUCUUCACGAUCCGACCGAUCAAGUACCGAACAUACGGCACCUCCGAGUUCAGCUCGAUGACGUCCCACGAACUCCGAUCCAGCAGAGCUUUGCGGGAGAGUUCCGUCAGCACAACGGCGUGAUGACGGUGUCGAUGAUGCUACUGACGCAGGGCUUCGCCUAAGCACCGCUACGAUAUUACCGAGGUGGAAUAUGGUGGAGGGAGGCACCGCACACGGCUAAGAGAUCAGGAGAUCAAUUGUUGUGUCUAGAGGUGCCCCCUGCCCCCGUAUAUAAAGGAUCAGGGGGAGGGGGUGGGCGGCCAGGAGGAGGGUGCGCCAGGGAGGAGUCCUACUCCCACCGGGAGUAGGACUCCCUCUUUUUCCUAGUUGGAGUAGGAGGGGGAAAGGAAGGGAAGGAGAGAGGAGGAAGGAAAGGGGGCGCCCCCCCUCCUCGUCCAAUUCGGACUAGAGGGGGAGGGGCGCGCGGCCAGCCCUAGCCACCCCUCCUCUUCUCCACUAAGGCCCAUCUUGGCCCAUUAAGCUCCCCGGGGGGUUCCGGUAACCCCCCGGUACUCCUGUAUAUGUCCGAAACUCCCCGAAACCAUUCCGGUGUCCGAACAUAGUCAUUCAAUAUAUCGAUCUUUACGUCUCGACCAUUUAGAGACUCCUCGUCAUGUCUGUGAUCAUAUCCGGGACUCCGAACUACCUUCAGUACAUCAAAAUACAAAAACUCAUAAUACUGAUCGUCACCAAACUUUAAGCGUGCGGACCCUACGGGUUCGAGAACUAUGUAGAUAUGACCAAGACUCGUUUUCGGUCAAUAACCAAUAGCGGAACCUGGAUGCUCAUAUUGGUUCCCACAUAUUCUACGAAGAUCUUUUAUCGGUCAAACCGCAUAACUACAUACGUUGUUCCCUUUGUUAUCGGUAUGUUACUUGCCCGAGAUUCGAUCCUCGGUAUCUCAAUACUGAUGUCUACUACACAACCUUCUUCUUGUAGACGUUGUUGGGCCUCCAAGUGCAGAGGUUUGUAGGACAGUAGCAAAUUUUCCUCAAGUGGAUGACCUAAGGUUUAUCAAUCCGUGGGAGGCGUAGGAUGAAGAUGGUCUCUCUCAAGCAACCCUGCAACCAAAUAACAAAGAGUCUCUUGUGUCCCCAACACACCCAAUACAAUGGUGAAUUGUAUAGGUGCAUUAUUUUGGCGAAGAGAUGGUGAUACAAGGGCUAUAUGGAUGGUAGAUAUAGGUUUUUGUAAUCUUAAAAAAUAAAAGCAGCAAGGUAACUAAUGAUAAAAGUGAGCACAAACGGUAUUGCAAUGUUAGUAAACAAGGCCUAGGGUUCAUACUUUCACUAGUGCAAGUUCUCUCAACAAUAAUAACAUAAUUGGAUCAAAUAACUAUCCCUCAACAUGCAACAAAGAGUCACUCCAAAGCCACUAAUAGCGGAGAACAAACGAAAAUAUUAUGGUAGGGUACGAAACCACAUCAAAGUUAUCAUUUAUGUUCUAUCUAUUCAAGAGUUCGUAGUAAAAUAACAUGAAGCUAUUCUUUCCAUUCAAUCUAUCAUAGAGUUCAUACUAGAAUAACACCUUAAGACACAAAUCAACCAAAACCCUAAUGUCACCUAGAUACUCCAUUGUCACCUCAAGUAUCCUUGGGCAUGAUUGUACGAUAUGCAUCACACAAUCUCAGAUUCAUCUAUCCAACCAACACAAAGUACUUCAAAGAGUGCCCCAAAUUUUCUACCGGAGAGUCAAGACGAAAACGUGUGCCAACCCCUAAGCAUAGGUUAAUGGGCGGAACCUGCAAUUUUAUCACCAAAACAUACAUCACGUGGAUCACAUGAUAUCCCAUUGUCACCACAGAUAAGCACGGCAAGACAAACAUCAAGUGUUCUCAAAUCCUUAAAGACUCAAUCCGACAAGAUAACUUCAAAGGCAAAACUCAAUUCAUCACAAGAGAGUAGAGGGGGAGAAACAUCAUAAGAUCCAACUAUAAUAGCAAAGCUCGCGAUACAUCAAGAUUGUGCCAUGGAGAAAACACGAGAGAGAGAGAGGUCAAACACAUAGCUACUGGUACAUACCCUCGGCCCCGAGGGUGAACUGCUCCCUCCUCGUCAUGGAGAGCGACGAGAUGAUGAAGAUGGCCACCGGUGAUGGGUUCCCCCCUCCAGCAGGGUGCCGGGACGGGCUCCCGAGAGGUUUUUUGGUGGCUACAGAGGCUUGCGGCGGCGGAACUCCCGAUCUAUCGUGUCCCUUGAUGGUUUUAGGGUAUAUGGGAAUAUAUAGGCGAAAGAACUCGGUUGGGGGAGCCUCAAGGGGCCCACGAGGGUGGAGGGCGCGCCCGGGGGGGUGGGCGCGCCCCCCUAUCUCGUGGCUUCCUCGAAGCUUCCCUGGCUUGCACUCCAAGUUCCCGGGAUUGCUUCUGUUCCAAAAAUAACUUUUCCGAAGGUUUCAUUCCGUUUGGAGUCCGUUUGAUAUUCCUUUUCUUCGAAACACUGAAAUAGGCAAGAAAACAGCAAUAUGGGUUGGGCCUCCGGUUAAUAGGUUAGUCCCAAAAGUAAUAUAAAAGUGUAUAAUAAAGCCCAUAAUCAUCCAAAACACAUAAUAAUAUAGCAUGAAUGCUUCAUAAAUUAUAGAUACGUUGGAGACGUAUCAGCAUCCCCAAGCUUAAUUCAUGCUCGUCCUCGAGUAGGUAAAUGAUAAAAGAAAGAAUUUAUGAAGUGUGAAUGCUAGAAGGUGCACAAGGUUGAUCAAUGAUAAUUUCAAUCACCUUUUCUAGCAUGAUUAUAUGUCAUAACAGUAGUUCAUAUCAUAAAACUUCUCAUGAUCAAGUAACAAGCUAUUCACAUGUUAAAGCAUAGACCGUAAACUUUCUUGAAAACUAGGAAACUUCAUUCUCAGUCAUCAAACAAUUGCAAUUCGUCUUAUUUUCAGGAAGGGUCUAUGUCAGAGCUUUGAUUUAGCAAACUCCACAUACUCAACUAUCAUAUAGUCUUCUACAAUUGCUAACACUCACGCAAUACUUAUGGUCAUGGAGUUUUAAUCGGACACUGAGAAAGAUAGGGGCUUAUAAUUUCGCCUCCCAACGUAUUCACCUUUGGGUGAUGUCAACAAUAAUAGUUCAUGCUAACUUACAUCCAAUUGGAUAUAUAUAUAUAUAUAUAUAUAUAUAUAUAUAUAUAUAUAUAUAUAUAUAUAUAUAUAUAUAUAUAUAUAUAUAUAUCAGGACCUUUCCAACACGAGGUGCUUGCCAAAGGAUAAAAUGAAAAAGCGAAAGGUGAAGAUCACCUUGACUCUUGCAUAAAGUAAAAGACAUAAAGUAAAAGAUAGGCCCUUCGCAGAGGGAAGCAGAGGUUCUAAUGCGCUUUUAUGGUUGGAUGCACAAAAUCUUAAUGCAAAAGAACGUCACUUUAUAUUGCCACUUGUAUAUGGAUCUUUAUUAUGCAGUCCUCGCUUUUAUUGCUUCCAUAAUAAGAUCGUAUAAAGCUUAUUUUCUUCACACUAAUAGAUCAUACAUAUUUAGAGAGCAAUUUUUAUUGCUUGCACCGAUGAUAACUUACUUGAAGGAUCUUACUCAAUCCAUAGGUAGGUAUGGUGGACUCUCAUGGAAAAACUGGGUUUAAGGAUAUUUGGAAGCACAUGUAGUAUCUCUACUUGGUGCAAGUAAUUUGGCUAGAAUGAGGGGGGAAAGGCAAGCUCAACAUGUUUGAAUGAUCCAUGACAAUAUACUUUAACUGAGAUGUGAGAAAACAUAACCCAUUACCUUGUCUUCCUUGUCCAACAUCAACUCUUUAGCAUGUCAUACUUAAUGAGUGCUCACAAUUAUAAAAGAUGUCUAAGAUAGUAUAUUUAUAUGUGAAAUCUCUCUUCCUUCAAUAUUCUUUCAUGAAUUGUUCAAAUGACCAAUACAAUGCUUGCUAACCUUCAAUAAAUUUACAACCUCUAAUUUUUAGAUGUGAAGUCAUUACUCCCCAUGGGAUAAGCAAAUGAGACAUAUAUAAUUUCAGAUUUAUGACAAUCAACUCAUUCAACAAUUUACUCAUAGGAUAUAAGUGAAUCGCGCGAGUAAAUGAAAAACUACUCCAAAAAGAUAAAAGUGAAGAUCAAUGAGUAGCUAAAUAAUUAUGUAACUAUGUGAAGACUCUCUCUCAUUAAAGAAUUUCAGAUCUUGGUAAUUUUUUCAAAUAGCAAGCAAAGCAAAAUAAAAUGGCAUUGCAAGGAUAGCACAACUCAUGUGAAGAAGCAAAAACUUAGGUUCAACCGAUACUAACCGAUAGUUGUUGAAGAAGAAAGGUGGGAUGCCUACCGGGGCAUCCCCAAGCUUAGAUGCUUGAGAAUUCUUGAUUAUCUUAGGGUGCCUUGGGCAUCCCCAAGCUUGAACUUUUGUGUCUCCUUAAUUCCUCUCAUAUCAUGGUUUCUCUUUUUAUCAAAAGCUUCAUCCACACCAAACUCAACGAGAACUCGUGAGAUAGGUUAGUAUAAACCAAUGCAAAACCUUAUCAUUUUCUACUGUAACAAAUCACUAAAAUUAUUAUUCAACAUUGCAUACUAAAUGCCUCUGCAUAUUUAAUACUCCUAUCCUUAAAUAGAAUCAUUAAACAAGCAAACAUAUGCAAACAAUGCAAACAUAACAGCAAUCUACCAAAACAGUAUAGUCUGUAAAGAAUGCAAGAUUCAUCAUACUUCCCUAACUCCAACAAUUAUGAGAAAAACACUAUGCUGCAGAAGAUUUAUCAUAGCUCAAUAUGAAAAAAGUUUCAACAUUAUAUCAUCCUCUGACUUUUCUAGGGAAUUUUUGCAACAGCGGUAAACUUUCUGUUUUCAAACAGCAACAUGUAUACUAGUAAAAUAAGCAUGGUAAAGGCUAUCCUUGACAUUUUUAUUAAAAAUAAAGAUGCAAAACAUUAUUAUAAAUAACAGCAAGCAAAACUAACAAAAGAAAAUGACGCUCCAAGCAAAACACAUAUCAUGUGGUGAAUAAAAAUAUAGCUCCAAGUAAAGUUACCAAUGAACGAAGACGGAAGAGGGGAUGCCUUCCGGGGCAUCCCCAAGCUUAGGAUCUUGAUUGUCCUUGAAUAUUAUCUUGGGGUGCCAUGGGCAUCCCCAAUCUUAGGCUCUUUCCACUCCUUAUUCCAUAGUCCAUCAAAUCUUUACCCAAAACUUGAAAACUUCACAACACAAAACUCAACAGAAAACUCGUAAGCUCCGUUAAUAUAAGAAAAUAAAACCACCACUUAGGUACUGUAAUGAACUCAUUAUAAAUUCAUAUUGGUGUAAUAUCUAUUGUAUUCAAACUUAUCUAUGGUUCAUACCCUCUGAUACUACUCAUAGAUUCAUCAAAAUAAGCAAACAACACAUAGAAAACAGAAUCUGUCAAAAACAGAACAGUCUGUAGUAAUCUGUAUCAAACGUAUACUUCUGGAACUCCAAAAUUCCUACCAAAUUAGGAAGACCUGAGAAAUUUAAGUACAAAUGCAUAGCAAAAAGAAUCAGAUCACAAGAACAUUUCUGUGAAUUAACAAAACUAAUUUCCUAAGUGCAAAAGUUUCUGAUUUCCAGCAGGAUCAACACAACUAUCACCGUAAGCUAUCCUAAAGGUCUUACUUGGCACUUUAUUGAAACAAACGCUAUAAAACAUGAUUACUAAAGUAGAAUAAUCAUGUGAACACACAAAAACAGUAAGGAUAAAUAUUGGGUUGUCUCCCAACAAGCGCUUUUCUUUAAUGCCUUUCUAGCUAGGCAUGAUGAUAACAAUGAUGCUCACAUAAAAGAUAAGAAUUGAAACAUAACGGGAGCAUCAUGAAUCAUAUUACUAACACAUUUAAGUCUAACCCACUUCCUAUGCAUAGGGAUUUUGUGAUCAAACAACUUAUGGGAACAAUAAUCAACUAGCAUAGGAUGGCAAAACAAGCAUAACUUCAAGAUUUUAAGCACAUAGAGAGGAAACUUGAUAUUAUUGCAAUUCCUACAAGCAUAUGUUCCUCCCUCAUAAUAAUUUUCAGUAGCAUCAUGAAUGAAUUCAACAAUAUAACCAGCACCUAAAGCAUUCUUUUCAUGAUCUACAAGCAUAGAAAAUUUACUACUCUCCACAUAAGCACAAUUCUUCUUAUUCGGAAAAGUGGGAGUAUCAUAAAAGACUUGAAUACUAUGAAUUGUUUCCACAUUAAAAGAGUAAUGUUCAGAAAAAGGGUAAUAAUAAUCAUGACAAGUUUUAUAAAUAUAAUCAUCGCUACUUUUUAUAGCAUAAGUUUCAUCACAAUAAUCAUCAUAAGUAGCAACUUUGUUCUCAUCAUAAUCGAUUGAAACCUCUUCCAAGAUAGUGGAAUCAUCACUAAAUAAAGUUGACACUCUUCCAAAUCCACUUUCAUAUUCAUCACAAUAAGAUUCAACAUCCUCCAAAAUAGUGGGAUCACUAAUUCCUAAAGUUUACACUCUUCCAAACCCACUUUCAUCAAUAUAAUCAUCAUAGGUAAGAGGCAUGCUAUCAUAAUAACUAGUGCAAUCAUCAUUAGUACUAUGGAUAUUCAAAGAGUUCAUACUAACAACAUUGAAAUCAUGCUCAUCAUUCAAAUAUUUAGUACCAAGCAUUUUAAUGCAUUCUUAUUCUAGCACUUGAGCACAAUUUUCCUUUUCAUCAUACUCACGAAAGAUAUUAAAAAGAUGAAGUGUAUGAGACAAACUUAACUCCAUUUUUUUGUAGUUUUCUUUUAUAAACUAAACUAGUGAUAAAACAAGAAACAAAAAGAUUCGAUUGCAAGAUCUAAAGAUAUACCUUCAAGCACUCACCUCCCCGGUAAUGGCGCGAGAAAAGAGCUUAGUUGACGGGGUGUGAGUGCCGCUUACCUAGCCUCCCCGGCAACGGCGCCAGAAAAGAGCUUGAUGUCUACUACACAACCUUCUUCUUUUAGACGUUGUUGGGCCUCCAAGUACAGAGGUUUGAAGGACAGUAGCAAAUUUCCCUCAAGUGGAUGACCUAAGGUUUAUUAAUCUGUGGGAAGCGUAGGAUGAAGAUGGUCUCUCUCAAGCAACCCUGCAACCAAAUAACAAAGAGUCUCUUGUGUCCCCAACACACCCAAUACAAUGGUGAAUUGUAUAGGUGCACUAGUUCGGCGAAGAGAUGGUGAUACAAGUGCUAUAUGGAUGGUAGAUAUAGGUUUUUGUAAUCUGAAAAUAUAAAGACAGCAAGGUAACUAAUGAUAAAAGUGAGCACAAACGGUAUUGCAAUGGUAGGAAACAAGGCCUAGGGUUCAUACUUUCACUAGUGCAAGUUCUCUCAACAAUAAUAACAUAAUUGGAUCAAAUAACUAUCCCUCAACAUGCAACAAAGAGUCACUCCAGAGCCACUAAUAGCGGAGAACAAACGAAAAUAUUAUGGUAGGGUACGAAACCACCUCAAAGUUAUCCUUUCUGUUUUCUCUAUUCAAGAGUUCGUAGUAAAAUAACAUGAAGCUAUUCUUUCCGUUCAAUCUAUCAUAGAGUACAUACUAGAACAACACCUUAAGACACAAAUCAACCAAAACCCUAAUAUCACCUAGAUACUCCAUUGUCACCUCAAGUAUCCUUGGGCAUGAUUAUACGAUAUGCAUCACACAAUCUCAGAUUCAUCUAUCCAACCAACACAAAGUACUUCAAAGAGUGCCCCAAAUUUUCUACCGGAGAGUCAAGAUGAAAACGUGUGCCAACCCCUAUGCAUAGGUUCAUGGGCGGAACCCGCAAGUUGAUCACCAAAACAUACAUCAAGUGGAUCACGUGAUAUCCCAUUGUCACCACAGAUAAGCACGGCAAGACAUACAUCAAGUGUUCUCAAAUCCUUAAAGACUCAAUCCAACAAGAUAACUUCAAAGGGAAAACUCAAUUCAUCACAAGAGAGUAGAGGGGGAGAAACAUCAUAAGAUCCAACUAUAAUAGCAAAGCUCGCAAUACAUCAAGAUUGGGCCAUAGAGAAAACGAGAGAGAGAGAGAGAGAGAGAGAGAGAGAUCAAACACAUAGCUACUGGUACAUACCCUCAGCCCCGAGGGUGAACUACUCCCUCCUUGUCAUGGAGAGCGCCGGGAUGAUGAAGAUGCCCACCGGUGAUGGGUUCCCCCCCUCCGUCAAGGUGCCAGAACGGGCUCCCGAGAGGUUUUUGGUGGCUACAGAGGCUUGCGGCGGUGAAACUCCCAACCUAUCUUGUCCCUCGAUGGUUUUAGGGUAUAUGGGAAUAUAUAGGCGAAAGAAGUCGGUCGGGGGAGCCUUGAGGGGCCCACGAGGGUGGAGGGCAUGCCCAGGGGGUGGGCGCGCCCCCCUAUCUCGUGGAUUCCUCGACGCUUCCCUGGCUUGCACUCCAAGUUCCGGGGAUUGCUUCUGUUCCAAAAAACAACUUUUCCGAAGGUUUCAUUCCGUUUGGACUCUGUUUGAUAUUCCUUUUCUUUGAAACACUGAAAUAGGCAAGAAAACAGCAAUAUGGGUUGGGCCUCCGGUUAAUAGGUUAGUCCUAAAAGUAAUAUAAAAGUGUAUAAUAAAGCCCAUAAUCAUCCAAAACACAUAAUAAUAUAGCAUGAAUGCUUCAUAAAUUAUAGAUGCGUUGGAGACGUAUCAAAUACCUAGUUCAAUCUCGUUACCGACAAGUCUCUUUACCUGUUAUGUAAUGCAUCAUCCCGUAACUAACUCAUCAGCUACAUUGCUUGCAAGGUUUAUAUUGAUGUGCAUUAUCGAAAGGGCCCAGAGAUACCUCUCCGACAAUCGGAGUGACAAAUCCUAAUCUCGAAAUAUGCUAACUCAACAUGUACCAUUGGAGACACCUGUAGAGCUCCUUUAUAAUCACCCAGUGACAUUUGGUAGCACACAAAGUGUUCCUCCGGUAAAUGGGAGUUGCAUAAUCUCAUAGUCAUAGGAACAUGUAUAAGUCAUGAAGAAAGCAAUAGCAACAUAUUAAACGAUCAAGUGCUAAGCUAACGGAGUGGGUCAAGUCAAUCACAUCAUUCUCCUAAUGAUGUGAUCCCGUUAAUCAAAUGACAACUCAUGUCUAUGGCUAGGAAACACAACCAUCUUUGAUCAACGAGCUAGUCAAGUAGAGGCAUACUAGUGACACUAUGUUUGUCUAUGUAUUCACACAUGUAUUAUGUUUCCGGUUAAUACAAUUCUAGCAUGAAUAAUAAACAUUUAUCUUGAUAUAAGGAAAUAAAUAAUAACUUUAUUAUUGCCUCUAGGGCAUAUUCCUUCAGUCUCCCACUUGCACUAGAGUCAAUAAUCUAGAUUACACAGUAAUGAUUCUAACACCCAUGGAGCCUUGGUGCUGAUCAUGUUUUGCUCGUGGAAGAGGCUUAGUCAAAGGGUGUGCAACAUUCAGAUCCAUAUGUAUCUUGGAAAUCUCUAUGUCUCCCACCUGGACUUGGUCCCGGAUGGAAUUGAAGCAUCUCUCGAUGUGAUUGGUUCUCUUGUGAAUUCUGGAUUCCUUUGCCAAGUCAAUUGCACCAGUAUUGUCACAAAAGAUUUUCAUUGGACCCGAUGCACUAGGUAUGACACCUAGAUCAGAUAUGAACUCCUACAUCCAGACUCCUUCAUUUGUUGCUUCCGAAGCAGCUAUGUACUCCGCUUCACACGUAGAUCCCGCCACGACGCUUUAUUUAGAACUGCACCAACUGACAGCUCCACCGUUCAAUAUAAACAUGUAUCCGGUUUGCGGUUUAGAAUUGUCCGGAUCAGUGUCAAAGCUUGCAUCGACGUAACCAUUUAUGACUAGCUCUUUGUAACCUCCAUAAACGAGAAACAUAUCCUUAGUCCUUUUCAGGUAUUUCAGGAUAUUCUUGACCGAUGUCCAAUGAUCCAUUCCUGGAUUACUUUGGUACCUCCCUGCCAAACUAAUAGCAAGGCACACAUCAGGUCUGGUACACAGCAUCGCAUACAUGAUAGAGCCUAUGGCUGAAGCAUAGGGAACAUCUUUCAUUUUCUCUCUAUCUUCUGCAGUGGUCGGGCAUUGAGUCUGACUCAACUUCACACCUUGUAAUACAGGCAAGAACCCUUUCUUUUCUUGAUCCAUUUUGAUCUUUUUCAAAACUUUAUCAAGGUAUGUGCUUUGUGAAAGUCCAAUUAAGCGUCUUGAUCUAUCUCUAUAGAUCUUGAUGCCCAAUAUAUAAACAGCUUCACCGAGGUCUUUCAUUGAAAAACUUUUAUUCAAGUAUCCUUUUAUGCUAUCCAGAAAUUCUAUAUCAUUUCCAAUCAACAAUAUGUCGUCUACAUAUAAUAUCAGAAAUGCUACAGAGCUCCCACUCACUUUCUUGUAAAUACAGGCUUCUCCAAAAGUCUGUAUAAAACCAUAUGCUUUGAUCACACUAUCAAAGCAUUUAUUCCAACUCCGAGAGGCUUGCACCAGUCCAUAAAUGAAUCGCUGGAGCUUGGACACUUUGUUAGCACCUUUUGGAUUGACAAAACCUUCUGGUUGCAUCAUAUACAACUCUUCUUCUAGAAAUCCAUUCAGGAAUACAGUUUUGACAUCCAUUUGCCAUAUUUCAUAAUCAUAAAAUGCGGCAAUUGCUAACAUGAUUCGGACAGACUUAAGCAUCGCUACGGGUGAGAAAGUCUCAUCAUAGUCAGCCCCUUGAACUUGGAGAAAACCUUUCGCAACAAGUCGAACUUUGUAGACAAUAACAUUACCAUCAGCGUCAGUCUUCUUCUUAAAGAUCCAUUUAUUCUCGACAGCUUGCCGAUCAUCGGACAAGUCAACCAAAGUCCAUACUUUGUUCUCAUACAUGGAUCCCAUCUCAGAUUUCAUGGCCUCAAGCCAUUUUGCGCAAUCUGGGCUCAUCAUCACUUCGUCAUAGUUCGUAGGUUCACCAUGGUCAAGUAACAUGACCUCCAGAAUAGGAUUACCAUACCACUCUGGUGCGGAUCUUACUCUGGUUGACCUAUGAGGUUCGGUAGUAACUUGAUCUAAAGUUUCAUGAUCAAUAUCAUUAGCUUCCUCACUAAUUGGUGUAGGUGUCACAGGAACCGGUUUCUGUGAUGAACUACUUUCCAAUAAGGGAGCAGGUACAGUUAGCUCGUCAAGUUCUACUUUCCUCCCACUCACUUCUUUCAAGAGAAACUCCUUCUCUAGAAAGGAUCCAAAUUUAGCAAAAAAAGUCUUGCCUUCGGAUCUGUGAUAGAAGGUGUACCCAAUAGUCUCCUUUGGGUAUCCUAUGAAGACACAUUUCUCCGAUUUGGGUUCGAGCUUAUCAGGUUGAAGUUUUUUCACAUAAGCAUCGCAACCCCAAACUUUAAGAAACGAUAACUUUGGUUUCUUGCCAAACCACAGUUCAUAAGGCGACGUCUCAACGGAUUUUGAUGGUGCCCUAUUUAGCGUAUAUGCAGCCGUCUCUAAAGCAUAACCCCAAAACGAUAGCGGUAAAUCAGUAAGAGACAUCAUUGAUCGCACCAUAUCUAGUAAAGUACAAUUACGACGUUCGGACACACCAUUCCAUGGUGUUCCGGGUGGCGUGAGUUGCGGAACUAUUCCGUAUUGUUUCAAAUGUAGACCAAACUUGUAACUCAAAUAUUCUCCUCCACGAUCAGAUCAUAGGAACUUUAUUUUCUUGUUAUGAUGAUUUUCCACUUCACUCUGAAAUUCUUUGAACUUUUCAAAUGUUUCAGACUUAUGUUUCAUUAAGUAGAUAUACCCAUAUCUGCUUAAAUCAUCAGUGAAGGUGAGAAAAUAACGAUAUCCGUCGCGAGCCUCAUUAUUCAUUGACCAUAUACAUCGGUAUAUAUGAUUUCCAAUAAAUCUAUUGCUCGCUCCAUAGUUCCGGAGAACGGCGUUUUAGUCAUCUUUCCCAUGAGGCAUGGUUCGCAACUACCAAGUGAUUCAUAAUCAAGUGAUUCCAAAAGUCCAUCAGUAUGGAGUUUCUUCAUGCGCUUUACACCAAUAUGACCCAAACGGCAGUGCCACAAAUAAGUUGCACUAUCAUUAUCAACUCUGCAUCUUUUGGCUUCAACAUUAUGAAUAUGGGUAUCACUACUAUCAAGAUUCAAUAAAAAUAGACCACUCUUCAAGGGUGCAUGACCAUAAAGGAUAUUACUCAUAUAAACAGAACAACCAUUAUUCUUUGAUUUAAAUGAAUAAUCGUCUCGCAUCAAACAAGAUCCAGAUAUAAUGUUCAUGCUCAACGCUGGCGCCAAAUAACAAUUAUUCAGGUCUAAAACUAAUCCUGAAGGUAGAUGUAGAGGUAGCGUGCCGCCCGCGAUCUCAUCGACUUUGGAACCAUUUCCCACACGCAUCGUCACCUCGUCCUUAGCCAAUCUUCGCUUAAUCCAUAGUCCCUGUUUCGAGUUGCAAAUAUUAGCAACAGAACCAGUAUCAAAUACCCAGGUGCUACUGCGAGCAUUAGUAAGGUACACAUCAAUAACAUGUAUAUCACAUAUACCUUUGUUCACCUUGCCAUCCUUCUUAUCCGCCAAAUACUUGGGGUAGUUCCGCUUCCAGUGACCAGUCCCUUUGCAGUAGAAGCACUUAGUCUCAGGCUUAGGUCCAGACUUAGGUUUCUUCUCUUGAACGGCAACUUGCUUGUCGUUCUUCUUGAAGUUCCCCUUCUUCUUCCCUUUACCCUUUUUCUUGAAACUGGUGGUCUUGUUGACCAUCAACACUUGAUGCCCCUUCUUGAUUUCUACCUCUGCAGCUUUUAGCAUCGCGAAGAGCUCGGGAAUAGUCUUGUUCAUCCCUUGCAUAUUAUAGUUCAUCACGAAGCUCUUGUAGCUUGGUGGCAGUGAUUGAAGAAUUAUGUCAAUGACACUAUCAUCAGGAAGAUUAACUCCCAGUUGAAUCAAGUGACUAUUAUACCCAGACAUUUUGAGUAUAUGUUCACCGACGGAACUAUUCUCCUCCAUCUUGCAGCUAUAGAACUUAUUGGAGACUUCAUAUCUCUCAAUCCGGGCAUUUGCUUGAAAUAUUAACUUCAACUCCUGGAACAUCUCAUAUGCUCCAUGACGUUCAAAACGUCGUUGAAGUCCCGGUUCUAAGUCGUAAAGCAUGGCACACUGAACUAUAGAGUAGUCAUCAACACGUGACUGCCAGGCAUUCACAAUGUCUGCAGUUGCUGGCGCAGGUGGUACACCUAGCGGUGCUUCCAGGACGUAACUCUUAUGUGCAGCAAUGAGGAUAAUCCUCAAGUUACGGACCCAGUCCGUGUAAUUGCUACCAUCAUCUUUCAACUUAGCUUUCUCAGGGAACGCAUUAAAAUUCAACGGAACAACAGCACGGUCCAUCUAUCUACAACAAACAUAGACAAGCAAAAUACUAUCAGGUACUAAGUUCAUGAUAAAUUUAAGUUCAAUUAAUCAUAUUACUUAAGAACUCCCACUUAGAUAGACAUCCCUCUAAUCAUCUAAGUGAUCACGUGAUCCAAAUCAACUAAACCAUGUCCGAUCAUCAUGUGAGAUGGAGUAGUUUUCAAUGGUGAACAUCACUAUGUUGAUCAUAUCUACUAUCUGAUUCAUGCUCGACCUUUCGGUCUUAGUAUUCCGAGGCCAUAUCUGUAUAUGCUAGGCUCGUCAAGUUUAACCUGAGUAUUCUGCGUGUGUAAAAACUGUCUUACACCCGUUGUAUUUGAACGUAGAGCUUAUCACACCCGAUCAUCACGUGGUGUCUCAUCACGAAGAACUUUCGCAACGGUGCAUACUCAGGGAGAACCCUUAUACCUUGAAAUUUAGUGAGAGAUCAUCUUAUAAUGCUACCAUCAAUCAAGCAAAAUAAGAUGCAUAAAGGAUAAACAUCACAUUCAAUCAAUAUAAGUGAUAUGAUAUGGCCAUCAUCAUCUUGUGCUUGUGAUCUCCAUCUCCGAAGCACCGUCAUGACCACCAUCGUCACCGGCGCGACACCUUUAUCUCCAUCGUACCAUCGUUGUUGUCUCGCCAACUAUUGCUUCUAUGACUAUCGCUACCGCUUAGUGAUAAAGUAAAGCAAUUACAGGGCAAUUGCAUUGCAUACAAUAAAGUGACAACCAUAUGGCUCCUGCCAGUUGCCGAUAACUUUGUUACAAAACAUGAUCAUCUCAUACAAUAAAAUUUAGCAUCAUGUCUUGACCAUAUCACAUCACAACAUGCCCUACAAAAACAAGUUAGACGUCCUCUACUUUGUUGUUGCAAGUUUUACAUGGCUGUUAUGGGCUGAGCAAGAACCGUUCUUACCUACGCAUCAAAACCACAACGAUAGUUCGUCAAGUUAGUGUUGUUUUAACCUUCUCAAGGACCAGGCGUAGCUACACUCGGUUCAACUAAAGUUAGAGAAACUAACACCCGCCAGCCACCUAUGUGCAAAGCACGUCGGUAGAACCAGUCUCGCGUAAGCGUACACGUAAUGUCGGUCCGGGCCGCUUAAUCCAACAAUACCGCCGAACCAAAGUAUGACAUGCUGGUGAGCAGUAUGACUUGUAUCGCCCACAACUCACUUGUGUUCUACUCGUGCAUAUAACAUCUACGCAUAAAACCUGGCUCGGAUGCCACUAUUGGGGAACAUAGUAAUUUCAAAAAAAAUCCUACGCACACGCAAGAUCAUGGUGAUGCAUAGCAACAAGAGGGGAGAGUGUUGUCCACGUACCCUCGUAGACUAAAAGUUGAAGCGUUAGCACAACGCGGUUGAUGUAGUCAUACGUCUUCAUGAUCCAACCGAUCAAGUACCGAACGUACGGCACCUCCGAGUUCAGCACACGUUCAGCUCGAUGACGUCCCACGAACUCUGAUCCAGUAGAGCUUUGCGGGAGAGUUCCGUCACCAUGAUGACGUGAUGACGGUGUCGAUGAUUCUACCAACGCAGAGCUUCGCCUAAGCACCAGUACGAUAUUACCGAGGUGGAAUAUGGUGGAGGGGGCACCGCACACGGCUAAGAGAUCAAGAGAUCAAUUGUUGUGUCUAGAGGUGCCCCCUGCCCCCGUAUAAAAAGGAUCGGGGGGAGGGGGCAGCCGGCUAGGAGGAGGGCGCGCCAGGGAGGAGUCCUACUCCCACCGGGAGUAGGAUCCCUCUUUUUCCUAGUUGGAGUAGGAGGGGGGAAGGAAGGGAAGGAGAGAGGAGGAAGGAAAGGAGGCGCCCCCCCCCCCCUCCUUGUCCAAUUUGGACUAGAGGGGGAGGGGGCGUGCGGUCAGCCCUAGCCGCCCCUCCUCUUCUCCACUAAGGCCCAUCUUGGCCCAUUAAGCUCCCCGGGGGGUUCCGGUAACCCCCCGGUACUCCGGUAUAUGUCCGAAACUCCCCGAAACCAUUCUGGUGUCCGAACAUAGUCACCCAAUAUAUCGAUCUUUACAUCUCGACCAUUUCGAGACUCCUCGUCAUGUGCGUGAUCAUAUCCGGGACUCCGAACUACCUUUGGUACAUCAAAAUACAAAAACUCAUAAUAUCGAUCAUCACCAAACUUUAAGCGUGCGGACCCUACGGGUUCGAGAACUAUGUAGACAUGACCGAGACUCAUUUUCGGUCAAUAACCAAUAGCAGAACCUGGAUGCUCAUAUUGGUUCCCACAUAUUCUACGAAGAUCUUUUAUCGGUCAAACCGCAUAACUAUAUACGUUGUUUCCUUUGUCAUCGGUAUGUUACUUGCCCGAGAUUCGAUCGUCGGUAUCUCAAUACCUAGUUCAAUCUCGUUACCGGCAAGUCUCUUUACUCGUUAUGUAAUGCAUCGUCCAACUAACUCAUUAGCUACAUUGCUUGCAAGGCUUAUGGUGAUUUGCAUUGCCGAGAGGGCCCAGAGAUACCUCUCCGACAAUCGGAGUGACAAAUCCUAAUCUCGAAAUACGCUAACUCGACAUGUACCUUUGGAGACACAUGUAGAGCUCCUUUAUAAUCACCCAGUGACGUUUGGUAGCACAUAAAGUGUUCCUUCGGUAAACGGGAGUUGCAUAAUCUCAUAGUCAUAGGAACAUGUAUAAGUCAUGAAGAAAGCAAUGGCAACAUACUAAACGAUCAAGUGCUAAGCUAACAGAAUGGGUCAAGUCAAUCACAUCAUUCUCCUAAUGAUGUGAUCCCCUUAAUCAAAUGAAAACUCAUGUCUAUGGCUAGGAAACACAACCAUCUUUGAUCAACGAGCUAGUCAAGUAGAGGCAUACUAGUGACACUAUGGUUGUCUAUGUAUUCACACGUGUAUUAUGUUUCCGGUUAAUACAAUUCUAGCAUGAAUAAUAAACAUUUAUCAUGAUAUAAGGAAAUAAAUAAUAACUUUAUUAUUGCCUCUAGGGCAUAUUUCCUUCACUGGGAAGGUUCUGGAGAAGACCAGAAGAGUCACGAGGGAGCGGCAAGCUCACCAGGGGCCGCCGCCUGAGCUUGUGGGGCCCUCAUGGCACCUUUUGACCAAAUUCUGUCUCUAUAAAUUCCUAAAUAAUCCCAAUAUACUAGAGACCCAUAUGAAACACUUUUUCGUCGUCACAAGUUUCUGUUCUUCCGCGAUCCCAUCUGGAGGCCGUACUCUGCCGGAGGGGGAAAAUUGAUCACAGAGGGCUUCUACAUCAUCCUUGCUUCCUUCCGAUGAUACGUGAGUAGUUCCAUAAACCUACGGGUCCAUAGCUAGUAGCUAGAUGGUUUCUUCUCUCUCUUUGAUCUUCAAUACAAUGUUCUUCUCGAUGUCCUUGGAGAUCUAUCUGAUGUAAUCUUCUUUUGCGGUGUGUUUGUUGGGAUAUGACGAAUUGUGGGUUUAUGAUCUGAAUAUCUAUGAUAAGUAAUGGAGUCUUUUCUGAACUUUAUUAUGCAUUAUUAUUAUAGCUUUGUAUUUCUCUCUGAUCUAUCCGUUUGGUUUGGCCAACUAGAUUGAUUUAUCUUCAGUUGGGGAGGUGAUUUGUGAUGGAUUUAAUCUUGGUGUGCUCUAUCACAGUUGCAGAAAGGGACAAGACACGUAUUUGUAUUAUUGGCAUUAAGGGUAAAACGACGGGGUUUAUUUAUAUUAGUUGAGUUUAUUUUGUCUACAUUACGCCAUCUUGCUUAAGGUGUUACUCUGUUUUUAUUAACUUAAUACCCUAUAUGCAUGUUGGAUAGCGGUCGAUGGGUGGAAUAAUAGUAGUAGAUGAGGCAGGAGUCGAUCUACUUGUCUUGGACAUGAUGCCUAAUACAUGAUCAUGGCCUUGAAUAUCAUCAUAACUAUGCACUUUUCUAUUAAUUACCCGACAGCAAUUUGUUCACUCACCGUAUGUUAUGUGUUUGAGAGAGAAGACUCUAGUAAAAAUUAUGGCGUCCGGGUCUACCUUUAUCAUAUAUAAAAAACAAAAUUAUAUUUGUUGCAAUUUUAUUUCUUUUAAUUUGUUUUGUAAUUUAUCUAUCUACCACUACAAGAUUUGAUCCUUACAAAUAACGAGUUCAAGGGGAUUGACAACCCUCUUGCUCGCGUUGGGUGCAAGUAUUUGCUUUUGUAUGUGCAGAUGCUAUUCACGAGGCAUUGCGUGAUUCUCCUACUGGAUUGAUGUAUUGGUUCUCACUGAGAAAAAUACUUAUCUCUAUUGUGUUGCAUCUCUUCUGCUCUUCGGGGGAAAUUCCAACGCACCUCACAAGUAGCAUAUAUUUUCUUUGACAUAUGACUACUUUUUUUUAAUAGUAGGUUUCGAAAAGCGGAAGUGGGCGAUACAAUAGAACUAAUAUGGACUUCUCACUAUAAAAAAGUAAGGCAUAAAUUGCAUUGGAAAACAAUAAAUAAACAUCGGUCAUAGUUAUAAAUAAACGAUGCAAAAUAUGAUCAACAACUUGCAAAGGAAAUAUGGAAAAGAACCCCACCUAACUUAAACCAAUAACGAUGUCAUUAUUUCUAGGCAAACAACAAAAAUUGCCACUCCCAACCCUCUGAGCCUCAAGACAUAACCAUAAAAAAUCCUCCGCCAAGGGCAAAUAAUUUUCAGAAAUUUAAACAAUUUUUAAAAUUUCAAAUAUUUUACUAAAAAGCAACCAAAAUAUUUUCAAAAUCAAACAUUUAUUGAAUAUUGUGAACAAUUUUUAUAUUCCAAUUUGUUUCUGAAAAGGGGAACAAUUUUUUUGAAAAAACAAACAUGUUUUAGAAAAGUAAACAGCUUUUGAGCAUUUUUAAAAAAAUCACAUUUUCAAUAAUGCGAAUAAUUUUUCAAAAUGUACUUUUUUGAAAUUAUGAUUAUUUUUCGGAAAAGAACAACUUUUGAAACUCUGAUCAAUUUUUAAGCUUUUGAACAUAUUUUGAAAUUUGUGAAUUUAUGGGAAAAAGGAACAGAAAAAAUGAAAGAAGAAAAAACAAAAACCAUAAACCAUAAACCAUAAACCAAGGGAGAAAAAACUAGUUGAAGAACCCUAUAGAACGCUUCGUUUCAGCUGGCGGAUCACGCACAAGCGUCUACUGCCUCCACGCGACACGUGCAUUUGCGUGUGUGUUUGCGCAGGUUUUCCUUUUCUUUUUUUGCAAUAUCAUCUGUGUGCAAAAUUUUCUUUGAUAACAAUACCCAUAUUGCAAAAAAAUAAAGUAAAAAAAUCUGCAACAUCAUGUAUGUUGCAUUAGGUUCUGUAACACUACCCUUGUUGCAAUGAUGAGGACGAUGUUGGGCGCUAGAUGGCGCCAGUUCUAAUGGAUACCAAGGCGGCAAAGCCGUAGCAUGCCCCAAAAGGAAAAACCAUUAAAACCAAAGGAGAAAAAUCAUUUUAAGAACCCUCUAGAAGGCUCCCAAAAUCGAUAAAAACCUGGGCUGGAACAUGUUUCCAAAACCGGAACCAGCGUACAGAACUUUGGAACGUGAUACUAGACUCCGAAACGUGGAUGGGCCAGACGAGCUCGGUGGCUUUGUGUGAAACAACAAUUAUUUGAUGCAACACGGGUCAGAUAGGAUUUGCCUGCGCUAGUCACGUGCCAUACAAGUUGGGAAAAUCCAAUGUGACGCACGAUGCGUCAAGACGUCCAGGGUUCGCACAGGAUCCAGGAGGGAGAGACGCGAUCUGGGCCAGCCCGUUACGAUUAGCGUAGCAACGGUUUUUUCCGGUUUUGGGAACUUUCUAGAAGGUUCCCUGAAUCAGUUUUUCUUUUUUCCUGUUGUUUUUUUGGCUGGUUUUCAUUUAGGUUUUUUUAUUAUUAUUAUUUAUUUAUUAUUUUCGUUUUCGUUUUUAUCUUUCAUGUUUCUUUAUUCUUUUUCCUUUUCUUUCCUUUUUCUAUUUCUUUUUUCAAAAUGCGCAAAAUUUAACAAUGUUUAGAGUUCAAAAUUGUUCGAAAAUUUGAAAAUAUGUUCGGGGUUUUUAAAAACUUGUGUUUUCAAAAAGCAUAUUCACAAAUUGGAAAAAAUGUUUGUACUUUCAAAAAAUGUUCUCACAUUUCAAAAAAAAGUUUCAGUUUUCAAAAUGUUCCUAAAGUUUAAACAUUUCAGGUUUUCAAAAAAUGUUCUCGAUUUACAAAAUGUUCUUCAAUUUCAAAAAAUGAUCCAUAUUUCAAGAUAAUGUUCGAAAAUUUCGAAAAAUGUCCAUGGCUCAAAAAUUUGUUCAGAAUGUUUUUCUUUGAAAUGCUGACAAAUUUCAAAAAAAGUUCACAAAAUUAAAAAAAAAUCAUAUUUCCAUCUUUCAAGAGUAUGAAAAAUUGUUCGUGUUUCAAAAAUUGUUCGUAAAUUUCAAAAAGUUCAUGUUUUCCUAUUUUGUUUGUGUUUUUUCGAAAAUUGUUUGUAAGGUUAUUAAAAAUUAUUAAAAACUUUAAAAAAAAGUUCCCAUUUUCAAUAAUUUUUAAGAAUGUUCAUGUUUCCAUUUUUUAGGAGUUUCAAAAAUUGUUCGCAGUUUUCAAAAAAUGUUCAUGUUUCAUAUUAUUUUGUUUGGGAGCUUAAAAAAUGUCCGCUUUUCCAAAUUUUGUUGUUGAAUUACAAAAAAUGUUCCCGUUUCAAAAUAAUUGUUCACAGUUUUCAAAAAAAAAAUCCAUGUUUCAUAUUUUGUUUCGGAGCUUUAAAAAUUGUCCGCUUUUCCAAAUUUUGUUGUUGAAUUACAAAAUAUGUUCCCGUUUCAAAAUAAUUGUUUAUGAUUUUUCGGAUAAUGUAACAGUUUUUAAUGAUUUGUGUUGCCUAAGAAAAAAUUGCAUUCAGAAUUACGGAAAUAUUUCAAAUAUGCUCUUGGGUUUUGUUCUUAAGGGUUCUUAAGGGUUUUCUCUCAAAAAAAAAGAUUCUGGGUUUGAUACCCUGUGAUGCCACAUUACCUGCCGCACAGAGCGGCAGCUAGGCUGAUUCUGCAUCCUCCAUUCUCCAGUGGGCAUGGCUCUCGGGCCGUUUUGCUAGGAGUUGAUGUAAACAGGAAUGCUCUCUAGAUACGAAAGUGCCCUUCUACACCAGAGCUUUGAGCUUGGGAUGAACAGUAACUCUAAAAACAUUUAAGAAAUAUUAGAAAAAUCUGAAUUCUUUUAUGAAGGACUUUGACAAAUAUCCAAAGAGCUUGUAAAAUUCCAUCAUAAAAUCACAUUUGUGGAAGUUGCGGCAGAACAAACAAAAUUAGUGUUCCAAAAUACUUCGGCAAGUAUUAUUUUCACAAUAUCAUUUUUUUUUUGCCAAAACUUCCACAGACGUGAUUUCAUGAAGAAUGGUUGCAAGCUCUGAACAUUUGUCAAAGUUUGCUAUAAAAAAAUCAGAUUAUUUUGAAUAUGUUUAAAUAUAUUUUUUAUUUUACUGUUCACCCGAUCUCAUUUGAGCUCACAUGCUGAACUUCACGUCGUCUAGAGAUCAUAUCAUUCACAAAAAACAACUUCCCACUAUAUUGUACUCCCACGUUAAAGGGAAAUUCUGCCAUAAAAGACGGAACCUCGUUAAGGUCGAGGCAUAUUUUUUUUAUAUUCAGCUUAACCAAUUAAAUACACCAGUUUUUUACAUAUGAUUUAACCAACAAAAUACGCCACUGAAUUCAUAUUUGAAAGAAACCCUUCUGUGACAUGACGUUGUCAUGAAACUUCAGUGACAAACAAGCAUUUACGGCAAUAGUCAUUAAGGAACCACACAAAAUAUGAGCUACAGCUUGCUAAGGAUUUCAGGCAUGGUAGAACAAACGAGACAAAACUGUAUCUGGAAAAGCACACCUCCUCACUUAAACCAAUAAUAAUGCCAUUAUUUCUGGGCAAAAGCAAACGCCGCCUCUCCCAACCCUCACAAGGCUCAAAACAUAACCAUAAUAACAAAUCCUCCGCCUAAGAGACAGCAUGUAAGAUAAUAGAAGGGAAACAGGAUAGUUGAUAGAGUUCCCGUUGGUGCCGCUGCUCCGACUCAGGCUCAGGCCAGCCGCUAGUCAUGCUGGACACACUAGUACCGGUAAGCCGCAGGCUUGUAAGGACCCUCAAUUGGGAUGCUAAUGUAGUCAGACUGGGACUUGGUGAGCUUGGUCAGCC
rnacentral:lncRNA from 1 species